ACCAUGAUUUGCCCAAGAAGUCUCAGAUGUUCUCGUGUGUUGUGUGACAUGUAGAUGAUUUUGCUGCAGUAUUAGAAUUUGGAGCUUAAAUCUCAUCCUAAACAGUAACUGGGUAACAUGAAGAUCUCAAUAGAUGGUGGCAGGGAAGAAGCAGUCGACAGAUUUUGAAGACAUUACUGGGCUGGGGCCAAAUCAGGGAGACUCAACAAAGUACACUACAGAUUGAUGAAUGUCCCUUUGAUUGGAUUUUGUGAUAUAUACAGUAUAUAUGUAUGGAACAUAUGAAUCAUGUAUUCUUUCAAACAUGGAAACUGAACAGUUCGAUAUCUGUUGACAAUAAAUUCAAACAUCUUUCAACACGCUUGUGUUAUGUUGUACCCUAUGUAUGUUGUCAUGGAUAUUGACAUCUUUGGCAAAGAAAUUUAGCUCAUGCCUAGGUUCUUUACCUUCUGCUGAUGUUUUUGGGUAGCUAGCUGUAGGAUCGCUGUGAACAGAAAAUUUCUAGAUAAAUGCUGGCUUUCCAUGGUUCUCCACAUGCUCUAUUAUCACCAGCUUAUGCAAUACAAUACGACUUUCCACUUCAGCCGAGAAAUUCUGUGCGUUACUUCAAGUACACGGCUGUGGGUGUUCUCUUUAUUCUUCUUCCUUCUGCUUUGCUUAAGAAUAUGUUAUUCUUUGCCCCGACAAUAACAUUCUUGCUGUACGGAUGCGUUAAGUUACAAAGAAUGUUCAUUUGCUUCUCAACUUAAAAGGCUCUGAUAUCGAUGUUUUGUUCUGUGGAUCGAUGACAUUGCUCGUUUUGGUUUGAAGAGACAUGACAGAAGAAGAACUUAACAGCUCUUUAGAGUAUACUCCAACAUGGGUGGUAGCAGGUGUAUGCUUUGUCAUUGUUCUGUUAUCUCUUUGUGUCGAGCGUGGCCUUCAUAAACUUGGAAAGGUAAUUAAACUAUGUGCCCUCUUUCUGUUAUCCUAGUUGCAGUCAUUCUAAACUAUUUACUUCUUCGACUUUCUUGGUCGGAAGGUCCUACACUCUUACCCUUGUUCCAUCUUGUUGUUCAUAAAUCCUUUGCAUUAAGGACACAAAAUCUCUCCAUAUCAGGGAGACUUGCACUCUGACUUGAUAAAGCGCCAUCUAUGUAAACAGCUCCUUAUUCUCAAAUCAAAUGAGUAAUGCUCGGAGAACUAGUAACUUGAGCUGUGACUUCCUUAAUUUUAAACAAAUUUAAUAGAACAGUAAAUUCUUUUAUCUUGUUCAGUCGUCAUUAUAUUAUUUUUGCAGUUAUGAGAACUUGACAUAUGUGAAUCAGAAGGAAUUUAGUGAAAGGAAACAAUGGAAACAAUGAAUGCAUAGAUUCACUCAAUCAGUAAAUGUCAAAAACUAGGUUGUCAUAAAAUUAUUUUAACAAUCUAGUGCAAUUCAAAUAAACCAGACACAUUAGGAGAGGUAAUAGGCAUAUGACAAGAAUUCUUAGCUCUGUCUGGUGUAGAAUGAUUGUGUAAAGACUAUUUUGGGCUCAUUGCAAGACUCUUUAAGUAUUUCUGUUUGUUUUCAUGUUUUGCUGUCUUGGAAUUUGGAAAUUCAGUGCUUGCAGCAUGAGAGACAAGAUGCACUAUAUGAAGCCUUACAAAAACUAAAAGAAGGUCAUCUCUCUCUCUCUCUCUCUCUCUCUCUCUCUCUCUCUCUCUCUCUCUCAUUAUGGGUAAUGAGCUGCAUUGGCACCCUCUUUCAUUCUAUCUAGCCUAAUCACUCUUCUUCUCUUAUGUUGGAACAGAAUUAAUGCUUUUAGGGUUCAUUUCCCUUCUGCUAACUGUGUCUCAACGUUCCAUAAGCCGCAUAUGCAUCCCUGCCCAUGUCGCAACUCACAUGUUGCCAUGUAAGAGGGAAACUGCUGAGCACAAUACCCCUGCACAUUACUUUCUUAAUCAAGCUACAAACAAUGGCCGACGCCUUCUGUCAGAAGCAACUUCAGAUCACUGUCAGCUCAAGGUACCUCAAUCGUAGUAUACUUCCCCUUAACCAAUGCUUCUACAAUGGAGCGUUUUAGUCACAUUAAUGUAACUGGAAAUAAUAAGAAUAAGAUGAUAAUGCAUGUCCUUUUUGUUUUCCUUAGGGGAAGGUUCCGUUGUUAUCAUUGGAAGGAUUACAUCAUCUACACAUCUUCAUCUUUGUAUUAGCAGUUGUUCAUGUGAUCUUCUGUGUCUCAACUAUGGUUCUUGGAGGGGCAAGAGUAAUGUAUCUUUCACCAUACAUGACUAUAUAUGGAUAUAGUUUCAAGUUCUACAUCUUCACUGUGCUAUAUGGUUUACCAUAUGCAGAUUCGACAAUGGAAGCGCUGGGAGGAUUCCAUCCAGAAGGGUAUUAUGAACUUAAAAUCCCCAAGUCUACUAGUUUAGCUGGUAGACCAAGUGCUUAGUUUAGUUCUUUGAUCGAGUUGGAUGAAUGAAUGUAAUAUUCUCUACAGAUCGAAGAAGUGGCGUUGCUCACGUCAGUCAUCACCAUCAUGAGUUCUUGAAAGAACGUGCAGAUGGAUAUUGGAGAAGAGCAGCUAUUAUAGGUUGGAUGGUGAGUUGGUUAGCUUGUUCUUCUUUGUUCUUUUUCAGAUUGCUAGGGAACUCUCUAUCAUUUUUGACAAGAUGCUAUAACACUGAUUUGAUAUAUCUUGGUAGAUAGCAUUCUGCAAACAAUUUUAUGGCUCCGUCACCAAGUCAGAUUACAUUGCACUGCGGCAAGGGUUUAUCAAGGUUAAUAUCUCAUUAUUUCUUCUAUGCAGUUCUCAUACAAAUUUGUUGUGUUUUUUUUUUAUUACAAAAUGAAUAAAACUAAACUCUGAGUUUCCUUUCAGGAGCAUUGCCCUGGAAAUCCUAAUUUUGAUUUUCACAAAUACAUGAUGCGGACACUUGAGAUUGAUUUUAGAAAGAUUGUUGGGAUAAGGUGAUAUUAGAAACUAAGCUUAUGCGUUAUCUUUGUCAAUGUUAGAGCAUACCAGAACCAAUUUAUAAUAAUGGAGAAGAGAGUCUCAGUAGGCUACUAGGCUUCAAGUGCCUGUGGCUGUAAGAACAACACCACCUUGCAUUAGCCGGACAAAGUCGAACACACUAGUAUGUAUUAAACAUAAAACACAUUGUUACUCAAAAGAAAUUGACAACCAAGUACCUCGCAUCAGUUAUAUGCUCCAAGUAUUCUUAAACUGUGUAUCUUUAUAGAUAUUUUUUACUUUUACUGUCAACUAACUAACAUGAUCAAUAAUACGUAGCUGGUACCUGUGGCUCUUUGUUGUGCUGUUUUUGUUGCUGAAUGUGGAUGGUAAUUCCUAAAUCUCAGUUUGAGCUUUAUAUUCUGAUACCAUGACCAGAUUGAGCUUAUGGAUUUCACUCUCAUGCAGGAUGGAACACAUACUUCUGGUUAGCAUUUUUGCCGCUGAUUGUGAGUGUAGUUCAAUUAGUAAUACAAGUACAUUAAUAGAAAAUGCUGGACUUACCAGACUUGCUUAUCAAUUGAUGUGUGGAAGUACAUAUGACUGAAACAAAUGAGGUCCAAUCGACUGAGUUCAUUGUCACAUCAUUUGGUAAACAAAUUUGAUAAGCGAAGCGUUGUCUGUAAUCUUGAUCUGUACAUGGCUUUAAUUGAGAAAUGACAUGGGUGAUGCACAACAGCUUCUGCUUCUAGUGGGGGCCAAACUAGAACACAUAAUUAGCCGCUUGGCUCAGGAUGUUACACAAUCAGGAGUACAUGCUAAUGAAGCAGCUACAAGAGUGAGGCCUUCUGAUGAACACUUCUGGUUCAGAAAUCCUAAAAUUGUUCUCAUUUUGAUCCACUUCAUUCUGUUUCAAAAUUCAUUCGAGAUUGCAUUCUUCUUCUGGAUUUGGGUACGUCUAUCUGGUAUUUAGAUUUAAUAUAUCUAUCCUACAAGUUCGAGUUAAUAAUCAAAAUCACUGAUUUUAUUUUUGCAGACCACCUAUGGAUUUCACUCAUGCAUCAUGGAAAAGUUGGGCUACAUCAUCGCCAGACUUAUUAUGGGGUAAUAUUCCUACUCCUAUGUGUUUAAACAAACAAGUAUUGUUUUCAAAAUUCAUCCUUUUUCGGUGUAAUUGUAACAUGUCAUUUGAUUCAUAAGUACUUGCUAAGAUAUAGGUGAAUGCAUUGGUUAUCAGAAAACGUAGAUUCAAUAUGUGACGAUCUAGUUUUCUUAGCUGCCUUCCUCUGUUGUGCAUUGCUUGGUUCUGAUAGAAGCCAAAGAUCAUUAUUCAUAGUAGCAGUUCUCACUCUAAGUGCUCAUCUUGCCCCGCAGUUUGAUAGUUCAAGUGCUUUGCAGUUAUAGCACCCUACCAUUGUAUGCAAUCGUCACUCAGGUGAGGCUUCUCUCUGUCCGACAUUUUCACUCUCCCAUGUACACUUCCCUGAAUUCAUUUCUACUAUGUGAUAACAUGAACUAAUGACCGUUGUAUGCUUGAACAUUAUGGGAUGAAGAUGGGUAGCAUGUUCAAGGAAGGAAUGUUCGAUCAAAUGGUGCAGAGUGCCAUCGGUCUGUGGGCUGGAGAUGUAAUCAGUCGACGUGAAGGCAGCGGGCGAUCCUCCUCAGGCAGUGUGCACAAAAUGAUCAAUAAUGAAUCGACCCAAACUGUCGAUGUGGCAGAACAAGAAAUGGUUGCCAUGGCUAACACUAUAGAUGUGCUCCCUUGUCAUGUUCAGCCACCUUCAUCCUCUUAGCUUUGUUUAUCAAUACCUCAUUCUUUAACUUAAUAAACAUAUAGUACACAUGCCUUGAACGGUGAAGCAAUAAUACAAACAACAAAGAACACAAAAGGGCUUUGGUAUUAUUUGAUUAUUGCUAUGUACAAUAGCGCACUCUAUGCCUUGAGCUAAACAAAAGUAUGUUACCUCCUCAAAAACACAAACUAUGCUCGGAAGUUUCUCUAAGCUUUAUACAAGAUAUUGUCCAUAUUUCUAUUUUUAACCUUUUCUUUUGUUUGCAUAUCAUAUAAUUACAUGGUUAAGAAGGAAAAACUAAUAACCACUCCAACUUCUCCCUAAUAGGAGGAAAAAAAUAAAGUGAUUUGCAGCAUCACUAGCAAAUCCAAUUAUCUGCACUGAUAUACUACCUGAGUGGAACCCUAGGUUUCUCCUACAACGUAAAAAUAUGAGGCUUUUCAAGGGGAAGCUUUUCCAUCUGUAAGCUGGUAUGGUCAGAAGCAGCUGCUUCCACCCCACUAGACUCUGCCCUCUUUAGCUCAUUUAAAGCAUUUUUAGCAUAAACAGUAAAAGCAACGGUGGUUACAAUUGCAACGAUUAAGGAUAGAAUGUUGUACACAAUCUCAACUGUGGUUAAGUGAUAGUUCCCAUACUUGACAUCCGCAAAUGUCCUUAAUAAGCGACCACUGCACAAAAAUACAACAGAAGCAUUAACAUGCUAAUUUUACCAAGAAAAUAGAGCUGCUGUAAAACUAGCUAAUAGGGCACUAGAUAACAGAUGCACAGAUAUUUUCAGAAUUAGUCUAGGAUAGGGAGUUGUUAUAUAAAUUCUUUUUGCACUUUCAAAUACGGACUUGUUAAGAACUUUUCACUACUAAGCAUCUGAGCAAGCAUAAAAUGAAUAUACUGGAUAGAGAUAAGACCUGUAGAUGUAAAUAAAAGCUUCUGGUAUCAUCCCAGCAAUUGAUCCCCACAAGUAGGGCCAAAAUCUCAUACUUGUGACCACGAUCGCGUAGUUGAAUAUUGUGUAUGGAAAGGGUGAAACCCUAAAGAGAGCAACCACUCGAAAUUGAUGGAGCCAACUCCCUUCCCCAGCAAGUCUAAUCAUUGCAGCAUUUCGAGGCCAUCUCUUUAACCAUUGCUGCCCAAAUAAGAAAAAUCAGUAUCACAAACCUAGAAAUGUAAAUGCUUCAAAAGACAAAGAAAACUCUCUUCUAUAGUCAUAAUAAGUUUAAGACUACUGAAAUCUUACAUGGAUGCGGUCACGGAAAUACAAACCAAUCAAAUAUGGUAGGAUCAUCCCAAUAGUUGUCCCAACCAUAAUUAUAACAAAUCCCAAGCCAUAACCAAAAAUCAUUCCAGCCAACCACAUUGAAGGGCCAGACGGAAUGAAGAACACAGGGAACAAUGCCAGAGAAGCAACGAGAACAAGGGCAAGAACUGGACGGCCAAAGGCUGUGGCUUCCCAUCGCAUUAUUGGCAACAGAACCUAAAGAGCAAAAGAUCAUUAAGGGCUUCAGGUAAAAUAAAACUGCCAAAUAUGCACCUACACACAUAUUAUAUAUAUAUAUUUAAAUUAUAUUAUUAAACACAAUUUUCACAGAUUAUCUAAACUCCAUCAAAUUUGCAGUCAACAGACAGAAUUUGUGGAGGUUUAAUAAUGUUCAUCAAGUGAAUCAGCCCAACAAUCUAGUAAAAUAUAAACACGUAAAAAGGACAAAAACUACUUGAACCACUAACAUGAGAAGACCCAAGAACCAUGAGUUAAUAAGUACCUUUUCAAAAAGAAAUGGAACCCCCCAUUUCAAGAAAAUGAGAAGCAAUAUAAUGGUGACAAGGCACAAGGCUAAGGCUUUAAUCCACCACCAAAAUGAUUUAGCCCCUGCUUCUGAUUGAGACUGUAAAACAUCUGCUUCUAAUGUGUUUGUUUCGUUGGAUAUAACCAGCCUGACAUAUUCACUGUCUUCUCUCACAUGAUGCACUGAGUUGGCAUUCUUUUCUGAAUCUUCAGAAGAGCUCAUCAUCUUUUAUGAUCCCCAGAAGCAGAAGGCUUGUAUUCAACUGAAAUUGAUGAAAGCAACAAUACGGUAAGAUACACAACUAAAUUCUUUCCACUUGGCAUAAUCUACAUAUUCAUAGCAAUAGACAGGACAGUAAAAUGUCAACAACUUUUUGAGAAACUCUCCUGAAUUGUAUAUGCCAGGAAGAUACUUACUAUUGCAUGACUAUUCUUUACUCAUGCAUCUGAUUCGUGAAAAGAAUCAUGACAGAUUCAAGAAGGGAAACAUUUUCUUUCUUAUUUAGUAUUCUAAACACAACUUAGAAAAUGUAUAGAGUUCAAUUUUACCGUUCUUGCAGCAUUUUAUUAACUUCAAGUAUUCUAGUAUAAAAAAUAAAAUAAGAAUAAAAAAAGCAAGGUGUUCUAGUAUGUUAAGAUUGCCUAAAUCAAAGCCAGAUCAAAAUGGAAAUUUCAAGCUCUUGUAAUACUGAUUAGAGAACAGACUUAACUCACUUAAGUUUACCACGCUUGGCUCUCUCUUUAUCCUUUUAUAUCUCUUUCAGCUUCUUUCCCUCCCUCCCUCCCUCCCUCCCCUGAAUUUCCCUUUGCCCUAUGUAAAUAUGAUAUUAUACUAACCUUCAACCUCAACGACCGCUGUGUUGAAGUCCCAUCUCAUGAUAAAUUUGCACGAUAGUAUACGCAAGCACAUGUGCUGUAACCAAUACCACUGCAAGUGCAUCCACUACAGUCGACCGCACCUGCCAGCAACAAGCUUAAGAGUAUCACCUUGCAGGCGAGCCACCAUCUCUUUCGCAUAUCAUCUCAGACUGUUAAGCCCAUUUUUGAUAUACUGAUCUACAAAGCUUUGUCAUCCGCACUAGCAUGCGCCAUGGGUCUAAGCCUGACUCAUUGCCUUCUCCACUACUCCGCAUCCCAUUUAGAUCAACAAAAUGCAUCAUUGGACUGAAAAAUGGGCUUAUCUACACCAGCCCCAACAUACUGGUUGUCAAACGACCUACUCCUUAUCAGCUAAAGUUUCCUUAUUCAGACUAGUUACACACACUAAAUUACCUUACUCUGCCUGACACAAACAUGAAUUAAUCCUGUUAUGCUCACAGCAACCGUCGAUCAGCUUUAACUAAUAAGAACCAUUGAAAGGAAAAAGAACCUUUAUCUGUGUAAAUUACCCAACACACACCCUCCAGCGCUCCUUUAUCUCACCUCUCUCCUGACAAUGAAGUAUUUAAGAGAACCAUCACUCACUCUAACGCCGAUCCUAUAAGUCAAAUUACGGAGGGGAUAAAAAUAGAAACAGCAAGAGGCCUAAACUAUUUUUCAUAACGUAUCUCCCUAUAUGCUAACUUUUAACUCGACGAGCUCACCGAAAACAGAAACUCAUUGCAUUUGCAUACAUAAUUUACAGAAUGCUCUGAUAAACAUGCUCAGCAAAUCCGCAUUUCAAGCACACAUUCAUCAUUAGACUCGAAUUGAAAAAAGGCCAAAUCAAGAGGCAAGCUAAGAAAUCAACAGCGAUAGCGAAGAGAUAGACAGAAUGAUAAGGCAAUCUUCGAAUCAAGGACUGAUAGCUGAGUCCUGAAAGAGAGCUAGGGCUUGGAGUUUGAAGAAGAGAUCAGUGCGAAUUGAGAAGCGAGGAGUGUUGGCUAAGUUUACCCGAUGAAAUUUGACGGUGGAGAGGAGCGAGAGGAGCUUGAGUCGGACCACCGGAGCUGGUCGCCGGCGGCAGUCGGAGGUGCCUUGCUUGCUUUGCUUAGUUUGUUCCGAAAGCGUCUCGUUUUUCAACCAACCUGGUGCUCCAGCAGAGAAACACAAGAAUUAUUCACUUUUCUUUUUAUUUUUCGGUCUUUAUAUUUAAUCUACGGAAAUGCUUUUAGGCGGACGCGGAUUUUGGACCAUGGAUAGUCCGCCAACCCAUCACGACUUUUUAAUCUCCCCCUGGUCAACCAUUUUAUCGCUUUAUCACGGCGCCUUCUAGAACCCUUCAUUUUUUAUUUUUCUGUUUCUUUCUAUCUGCCCUACAUCAAUAGUGGGUUCAGUUAAAUUUGUUAGGAGCGGUCUUUCACUCUUAAGCUCUGAUUUCCAAAUAAGGAAUUCUUUUAUACUGAUUUCCAAAUAUCAGUUAAAUUGUGAACUAGUUUAUAUACGAACUUGUUUCUUCACUAAAAAAAUAAAUAAAUAAAAGGGAACUUGAUUCUGAAGCAAGCAAGCCAAGCUCCUGUUUCAGGAGAGCGAAAUCUAGGUUUUAAGUAAACGACGACGGUGCCACAUCAUUUGGAUCACGUCUUUCCUAGCAGCAUUUUGAUGUUAGGCUUGUCUUCUUCAUCUUCAACGCACAAUUUUUCAACCGGCUUGUCGUCUGGUUUCUUGACCUAGUGCAAAGUUUCAUUCCUGGUUAGGCAAAAAGCCAAAAAGGAGAAGGGUUGAUUGAUGAGGUUUUGAACCUCGAAGGUUGCAAACUUGCAGGCUGUGGUGGGUGUUAAGCCGAGAUCAGCAGCUUCACUCUCGAGGUAUAAGCAGUCACUACACAUGGUCUCUCUUGCAUGAUUAGCAUAUUCUAAACAUUGGGAAUAAGGAUAGCUUUUGUUCUCCAGCAAAAAGUAUAUCCCUUGUAUAACAACGAACUCAUCCAUCCACACAACAACCAAGUCUAUCUUCCCCUCUUAGUUGCCUAACUUCAUUUGUACUCCUCGACAUAACCCGGCUGUGGGUGAGGGUGAUGAGUUGACUUCUUUCAUGCAAGCCAACAUCCUUCUCUAGUUUCCCGUUUAUAGGAUGUUUCCUUAUGUUUGUAAAUCAUGUGGCACCACCCACAGUGUGAAAGUAUCAGGGACCUUCCCGUUUAUACUACCAUAAUUCACAAACAUUAGGACCUUCGAUGGAGACUUCUUAGAUAUGGGUCGGGUGGUUGUUUUUCCACUGUGUUCAAGAAUCUCAACUCUCCCAUAUGGUUGGGUUCCUUCACCUCUUCUUGGUGAUCUUUAUACUCUCGAUAUGUGAGCUUGCAGGGCUGACAAAGCCGUCUUGUGUGGGCACUUGUUUACUCUAUGAUGUCCUUUGCAUAAGAAGCAUGAUAAAGUCUCAGUGUGAAGCCUGCAAAGUUAAAUUAUCGUGGGGGGAAACACCCAUAUUGAGGCGGCCAGUUUGGAAGAGGUUGUAUCUUUGAAAUUAGUCACCUUUCUGUCCCCUCCUCCGGAAUUAGAGAAUCUCGACUCCACUCUCCCACUUCUACUCUAUAUAUCAAAUGCUCAAACACACAUAUCUAACUUUGGCAUCAGAGUGUGUUUGACCGGUCUUAGGCUGGUCCUCCGAUAAUCAUCUAUCGCUUCAUAUUUGCAGGUCAUUCCCAUAGAGCUUGAAGGCUCAAUAUCAAUCGAAGGAAGUCCAUCAAAAGAGUGGAUGCAACCCACCACGAAGUGGAGCAUGAAGGCUCAACAUCAACUGAAGGAAGUUCACCAGAGUGGAGGAAGUCCACCAAUAGCACCUGAAGUAUUAUAAGGGAAUGUCGUGAUAUAGUUUUAUAAUAUUUGAAUGAAAUGGAUUAAUUUAAAUUUAAUUCGUAGAUUGUAUAUCACGUUUAUACCUUUUAAAAUUCUUAAAUAUUAAUGAAUUCAGAAAAAAAAAAAAAUUAGAGCAUGUUGAUUAUAUCAAAAUUCGAGGGCAACAAUAAUCUUAGUUUAUCAUGAGUAAAGACACUAUUGCUGACAUAAUAACCUCUAUAUGAAAUGCUGACAUGAAUGAAAAAAGAACAGUUCGAAUACCAUCUACUAACAUCACUAAAAAUAUCGUUAAAAUACUUUUACGAGAAGGUUUUAUUAAAAACGUGAGAAAACAUCAAGAAAGCCGGAAGCUAGCUCACUUUCAAAGAGAGGAAGCCUACCACGAAGUGGUACGUGAAGGCUCAACAUCAGCCGAAAGAAGUCCACCAAAAGAGUGGAUGAACGCCAUCACGAAGUGGAGCAAAAAGGCUCAACAUCAGCCAAAUGAUGUUCACCAAAGGAGUGGAAGAAGUCCAUCAAUGAAAUGGAGGAAGCUAGCUCACCUUCAAGGAGAUGAAGCCCACCAUGAAGUGGUACGUGAAAGUCCAACAUUAGUCGGAGGAAGUUCGAGACGGGACUACCAGUUUCUCCGACAAAGGAGUGGAUGUAGCCCCACCAAAUGAGUGGAGGAAACUCACCAAUUAGUGCAGGAAGUUCGAGAGGAGACUACCGGUUCCAACGACAAAGAAGAGGAUGAAGCUUACUAUCAAGAUGAGUGUGAAUGCUCAACACCGCCACUGCCAGAAGGAAGUCCAAGAUCAAGAAUCUAGUCUUAUUCAAGGAAGUCGAAUGCACAAGCUCAUCGAUGUCAUACCUCAAGUCACAUGCGGUGGACUACUAAGACGCGAUAUAGGACCACGGUGACAUAUCUUCAGUCACUGAAGAUAGACGAUCAAAACUAUGGAAAUAGUCAAAACCGAAGGGCGAAGAUAGGCCCACUAAAAGAGAAUAAUCCCACCACUUUACACGUAUGAUUUCAACGAAACUCUCGUUGACCCAUUGGUGUUAAAAAUGACAUCAACAUAUUGAUUGACAUUACCGGCACACUAGACUGCGUCGAUGAUUUGGCGACGUGAGUAAAUGACCUUGAAGGGUUGAGGGACCAAGUUACGGCCCUAGAAAAGAUGAAAGCUUUGAGGACAAAAACAAAUUACGAGAGAGGAGAAGGUUCUUUUUCACAAGAGCAUAUGGGGGCAAUGUAUGAUGCCCUCGACACGGUGCAGACACCCAUUAAAAACGAUCGAGCUGGUGGAGGCUGUCUGAGCCACCAUUAAUAUAAUGCAUUCAAAAAUGAUCGAGCUGAUGGAGAUUAACACCAAGCUCAAUCUAGCCAUUCGGGCAAUAGGUAACCAACCCGUGAUGAACUACAAGAAGGUGAAGAUCCCGAACCUUAAGCUUAUGAAAAGGCGCGAGCGCUAAGGAGCUUGAGAACUUUCUAUUUGAUAUGGAGCAAUAAUUCAGGGUCGUAAAUCCAGACUCAGAAGAAGCAAAAGUGAGCAUGGCGAUAAUGUAUUUGUCAGGCAAUGCCAAACUGUGGUAAAGAACAAAAUACAAUGACAUCCAGAUGAAUGUUUGUACCAUUACUACAUAGGAAGACCUCAAGAAAGAGAAUGUAGACUUCCUAGAUAAUGUACACUUCAUUGCCAUACGAUAGUUAAGAGAGCCGAAGCACACCAACAACAUUAGAGAAUUUGUGAACAAGUUCUCUAUGCUCAUGCAUGACCUCUCAGAUAUAUUGGAGAAAGAUCAACUACUAAUCUAUUUCCUCGAGGAAUUGAAGCCGUGGGGUAGAAAUGAACUCUAGAGACAAAGGGUUCAUGAUUUAGCCUUUGCUUAAGCUGUAGCUGAAAGACUUACAUAUUCCAUCCAAGAAAGACUUUGAAUGCUAGGUCAGGCAUCUCACGAUUAUUUAUGUGUGAGGGUUCUCUUCAUCUCUCGAACAAAGGUUUAAGAGUGUUGAAAGGUCAGAGUCCUAAGUGGACAGUUUGACAUUUCAAUGCAUCCUAUGUGGAAUGGGCUGAAAGGUCAAGUUUCGUUGUCGAACCAAACUAUGACAUCAACACAAUCUAUUAGGGACUCUCGCUAGUUCAUAGAGUUGCUGAUCAUAAAAAUCAAAUCGUUGUGUAUUUGUCAUCUUCCCCGUCAUGGGUGUGACUCUUUGAGCCGAUUUGGCUCUGAUACUAACUGUUAUGGGCCGACUUUGCAAAGGAUCAAGGUGGACAUUACGAUACUUGCUAGUCUUGUAUUGUCGCAAGUCAGCCUUGUGUGCACCUUGCAAGAAACAAUGAAAACCACAUAAUAUUAAUAUAAUGCUAGCGACAAGCAAGAACACAGUUAAUUACAUAUAUGAGGGGCAGCCACGAGGGAUGAGUGAUAAUCAAAUGGAGGGCAAUAAAUAAUCUCACGGGACACAUAUAAUUGAAUAAUUUAUCUUUUAAUUGAUGAUAAGACAUUUAAGGAGGCAAAAAUACAUGUGCUUACCUAUACUAGUUCUAUAGUACAACUGUCGCCGACUAGAAACCCCUCACUGAAGAGCAUAUCGGCCAAUUUCUCAAUUGAAAAUUUGGAAGUAGAAACAUCAAAUUGCUGAGAAGGGUUCUAAAUAAAGUAAAAUACAAAAAAAUGUAAAUUAUAACAAUGUCAUUAGCACACAAGCAAUCAGCCAUAGGCUCGAUUUCUCUGUCCCUAAAACAGAUUGCUUGCGGCAUUACAAGUCUGCCCUUAACAUUGUGUUGAUUUGACCAAAUUAGGAUGUUAUCGACGUCCUCUGUUUGUAAUUUUGUUUUUAAUCAUCGGAAAAAGAAAACGACAUCUAAAUAUUGUAGAUUACCUUAAUUAUACGGUUUUUUUUCUUUUCUUACAUAUGGUUUAUAAACCCUUUUCGUUUUGGAAACUCAAAACACCCUAAAACCCUUGGAUUCUCUCUUCUCUUCUCUCCUCUAUUCCACUGUCUCUGCUGAUAUGUAAAAAUCUACGACACCGCAAAUGAUCGACUGAAUGAGUCUACAGAGCAUGCUACGAAGAGCCCUCACCUUCAAUCACCUCCCCAAGUCCGGUAAAUCUUCUACCUUGAAAAUUCUAGUGUUCAUCUGUGGUGAUUUAAGAUCACAUUUUCUUUGUUGGUUUUUUUGCAGUACUGCCAAGUGGGCUGCGUGGAAGAAGGCCCUAUGCUAGUAAUGCUGCCGCUGCCGCCGAGGAACCAAACCCAGAUGGUAACAAGGUCCGUGGAAGGAGGCGUAGCAAGAAGGAGCUCCAUGCUGUUGUGGAAACGGUUGUCAAUGAGUGAGUGUAUAUAUUAACUCUUUUUGUAAUGCAUUGCUUACUGGGUUUCGGUGAAUUAGUUGUUUUCUGGUUUUUGUGCAUUGGAUUUUUGUUGUUUAGAGAGUGUAGGUUGUAGAAUUUGGAGUUUCGUAAGGUGUUUGAAUAAAAUAACUAGAGAUGAUCGUUGUUUGCAGGUACAAGGCAAUGAAUGCGGGGAAAUUCCCUGGGAUUAAGUAUACUAAGAAACAAGUGGGUGGCUGUUACUAUAGAAUUCGGGGGAUCCUCCAGGAGCUACAGUACGCAGCUAAGAUGUCGCCUUCUAGUGGUGGGGUUGAGCAUUCGUUGGGACGAGAGGGAACUAGAGGAAGUGAGUCUUUGACUGAUGUUGUUGGUGUCAGUGCUCAAACUGUUUCUGAGGUGGAAGAUGACGUGGAUCUUGGCGUUGUCAGUGAUGGGAGUUUCGAAGCUAAGGAAGAGUCCAUGACGUCCUCCUCAGUUGAGAUCUUGUCUGAAGAGGUUGUCACUCCUGUAAGUAUUAAUCAUAGAUCACUGUUUAUUAGUACUAUAAAACUGUGUUUUGGUGUGGAAUGAUAUGCAAUUUGCAAGCCUGAAUCGUACCAGUAACAUUUCUCUUGAGGAACAUUUGAAUCUCCUAGCUAGGCGUCUUUCAUUCUUCUAAUUUGUGUAGAGUUCUGAUUGCAAAAACUAAAAAGUUAUUGACAUAGGUUCCACUCCACUAUUGAUGGCAACUUUGAACAGACUGAAGUUAACGUCAAAGUUGAUGAGAUGUAUAAACACGAGAUGAUAGCCAUAUUUUAUCAACAUAUAUUUUAUGAGACACAGUGCACCCUAUCCACAUGAGUUCUUCAAACCUGUGAAUUCAUGACUUGAUAGUUGAUACUUCUAGCAUUUUGAAUUGAGUUAAAUCUUCUGGCAUUUGGCUUUUGCAAGGGGUCUCUUCUAGCAUGUUUGAACGCCUCAUUCUCCAAUUUCCGGUCCUCAUAUCUAUAAUAACCUCAAAUUUUGUGCUGGUUUAUUAUUUAUUAUGCUCCUGGGACUUUGCGUUAGAGUGCACACCUUAAUAACUUCUUAUAGUUACUUAAGUUGUAUUUUCCCUGCAGGGGAGAGGCUCUGAUCUGGAUGUCACACAAAGUAAUAUUGGGAAAGUGAAUGCUGCGGAAUCUUCAUAUAUAGACCCUGAUAUAGUUGGCAAUGAUAUGGAGGAACAUACAAACAAUCAAUCUGUCUCUAUGGCUCCAGGACAUGAGAUUUUACAAGGAGGAUUUGAGGUUAUUUCUCAUUCACGUGACAAAUCUCAUGAUAAACCAGAGGAAGCUCAGGCUGAUCUACAUGAUGAUGUCUCUAAAGUAAAGCAUCUACAAAUAGGGGACAAUAAUACAGCCUCUCUAAGUUCUGAGUAUAUGGAGGAUGUUACUAAACCGGAUCUUGAAGAGUGUAAAAAGAAGCAACAUGAAGAGAUCCCUAAGGCUGAUCUACUGGAUUCCAUUACUGCAGAAAAACAUGUACCACCAGAGGCAGAUAAAGUAUCCAAGUAAGUUCUUAUUGUAUGCUAAAGUUCACAAUCUCAUAAUUAUCAUUCUGAACAAGAUUAAAAUUGGCUUUAUAUUUAGUGACAAUGUGUUGCCAUAGACAUUCACUGUCAAUUUGUUACAAUAGCAAAAGCACGUAUUAUACACAUAAAAAUGUGGUGCUUGCACCACGAAAAGCUGACAUUUUCUAAAUAUGGAUGUGGACAAGAUUAACAUCUGAUGAGUAUGAAAUUGGUCGCUUAAUUAUUUGGAAUACUACUCCAAACUUCACCUAUCUCAACUUAUUUGACCAUAUAUCUAGCACUCUUAUUAGUCUAAAAACAAAGCUGAGAAGUCUGCUUAGUCUUCCCCUUUAGCUUACUGUUCUUUACUUUUCUUUUGGUUAGCCAAGGUGAACUCUAACUUGUAUACACAUUAGUAGAGUUCAUGGAUCUUAUUGGUUCCCAGAAUGAACACAUGUGCUUUCCUAGUCAUUCACGUGCAAUUAAUGUUCUCAAACACCUGCUAAAGCACCAUAUCCGUGCUCUGUCCUGGUCAUGAUUUCAUGUAAACAAUACAACUGUUUCAUGUAACAUCCGGUCACACAUCAUGCCUGAAAUAGUUUUCUGAACAGAGCACGCUGGUCAUUCACGUGCAAUUAAUGUUCUCAAGCACCUGCUAAAACACCAUGUCCGUGCUCAGUCCUGGUCUUGAUUUCAAGUAAACAAUACAACUGUUUUUAUUUUAUAUAUUAUUUCUGUAAUUAAUUAAUAUUUCCAAUUUUUGUUUCUCGAUGAACAAACUUUAUUGAUACCACUAGCUGGGAUCACAUUUUUUUAUUUACUUUUUGCUUUUGAGCUUGCCGCUUUGGCCGUGGACAAUGUAAUAUAGAGAUAUAAGUUUGGGUAUUUUUCUAGUUUAUCCAGAAUAUAUGCGGUUAACUUGAGAUCAAGAUAUGUUAGUGUUAUUUGCUUAUCUUUCUUUCCUUUAGUUGUCAGGGAAAAAAGAGCAGGAUAAGUAAUAGACAUCUCACCUUGGUGGCUUGGUAUAUUAUUUACUACUCACUAUGAAUGUUAAUGACCAUCCAAAGUUGGAAACCAAUGAACCUAGUCUUGUCACAUUAUUGAUUUACUUAUUUCUCUCAUUUUCUGCUUAUGGUGAAGCUAUUUGUAGUAGAAUUAUGGACAGCUGAAGCCCUAACUCUAUCUGAUAUGCUUAGCUUUAAGUUAAAGCACAUGUAAUAAACAUGAUGUGACAUACUUUGCUUGAAUCAUUUUUUGCUUCUAUGUAAGCUGAAUUCAUUGUGCAGGGACCUCCCUGGUAGGCCAGCUGCUGAUGCCGAACCUCCGAAAACAACAACUCUAUGGGGUGCUGUGAAAUCUUUGGCGGAUGGAAUUAUCAGUAUUUUCAGAAAUCAGUAACUCUUUGUCACAUAAGGUUGGUAUCGUGAGGAGGUGAUUUUAUGUUAUCUGGUUAAUUAUUUAGUUUUCACAGAAUUGCUGUUGAAAGUAAAGCAAUGUUGAUCUUUGAAGUAGGUUAUGGAACAACUAGGAUGUUUUUACUAUGUAACUUGCAAAUGGUACUAGAAUUUUAAUGUGCAGCCUUAAUCUGUAGUUACAGUAGCUAGUCACAUGUAAAACAAACACUAACACAAUCCAAGAAGCUCCACAUUUUUGGAAUGUUCUCUUUUGUCUUUGGUUAAACAUUUGGGUAUAUGGGUUACAGUAACAUAUUUACAUAUAAGCAAAAUUCUUGUGAUAUCUGAGAAUAUCAUUCUUUUACAGAAGCUACUACACUAAACAAAAACUGGAUACAUAUUGUUAUGAUUUUGGGGUUUGGAAUUUAUUUCAAAGUUGACAUUCAAGUACAAAAAUUAAUAUUUAUAGGCCAUCCUUUCAUAUUAGGAGGAGACAUGCGAUGGUAAUUUUUUAUUUCUUUCCCUUUAGCAAAGUAACAUGCGAUGCUAGUUGAAGUAUGAAGGUGUAGUGAAUAUUUUAUCUUUAUGAAAUAAAAGUAUUUUGAUAAUGCACAACAUUGACACUGUUGUUGAAGCCAAAAUGUAUCUAGGUCAUCAAGUGUGCAUUUUUUGUAGCUUCUUGGCAUGAAAGCUUUGGUAUUUCCAUACUCCUGCUUGAGAUUAUCUUUUAAUGUUCCACCAUUAAAGACAUAUAUUCAUAUAACUUUUCCAAGAGAUAUAAAGUCAGAUAAUAAUUUUUAUUUUCAACUACACCUUUAUUGAAAUAUAACCUUAUAGUCAGGUUCAAACCUCAGGACUAUAUGGAGGUGUUUUACCGUGAUCAUUAAGUGGAAUUGAAUCAGUUGCCAAGUCCAUUUCAGUUUCCACUUUACUUCAACCUUCAAGCAUAAAUUUGGAAGUAUUAGAAUUUGGUUAUCCCCUGGCUUCAAUAAUCACAGCGCAUCUCUAGUCUAAUCUAGUUUGUCAUGGACCUUUUGAGCUAAAAACAUGCUGGAUUGCUGGGAUCACACUUACCUUGAGAGAUUUGAUAAGCAUUCUCACCUAUUUUAAAGUCCUUGAGCAUUCGAUCUACGGUGAAGUGUAUGGUGUAUAUUUAUGAGGGAAUCUAUAUGAUUUGUUUUGGCUGCCGAGUGUUGUAAGUAUUCAUAUGGGUUAAUAGGUGAGUUGGGUAAGGAUACUACUACUGGGGGUAAAUAAUGGUGAUGUUACAGUGGAGACUUUAUUAGCUGGAGAAAGAAAGGUAGUAAUGUACUAGAGAAAGUUCCCAAGCCUCAUGACACUGACCAUAAUGGUGAAAUAAAAGCAAAAUUGAUAAUGAUCCUCCCUUAUUGAAGAAUGAGACCACAUCCAGAUGAAGGAUGCAACUAGUAGAUUUCCAGGGGUAGUAGAGGGAAGUGAAGUAUCUUUAGAGGAAAGCAUAUUGAGAGUCUUUGCUGUUUGGGUGCAUCUAGUGAUGCUUCAAGUGUCCCAGCUGCUUUUGGUAUGUGUCUCCCUGAGGAAGGCAUGUAAGCUUUAGCGGACAGUAUAUUGUGAAUGUUUGCUGUAUGGGUGCGUCUAGUGAUGCUUCAAAUGUCCCAGCUGCUUUUGGUAGGUGCCUCCCAAUGUGGAAUAUAUGCUUCCCUUCUCCAGAGUUCACAAUGUGUGGACCUUGGAAUCUUGGAUCUGAUCCAUGCUUUUAGAAUGGAUAUUCUUUGUCUGUGAACCUUGUGCCUAAUUUUAUAAAGUCAAGGAUCUGCUUAGAAAUCUAGGUUUUCCCAAUGCAGUACGUGGUGGAGGCGGAGGCCGGAGUAAUCUUGUUGACAGCAAUAUCCAUUCUAUCAUUACUACGAAGGUGAAUGGAGUUGAGAUGCUUUGAUCCUUACUACUGUCUAUACUAGUUCUUGCUGCUGUUAAAAUGGUUGUGUCCCGAUACCAAGCUCCUGAUUUCACUUGGAAUAAUAAGCGAGAAAGAGUAGAUACUAGAUAGAGGUACUGGUAACGGUGAAGGGAGAUGGACGUACAUUUCCUGAAGCUUUUAUUCAACGAUUGCUAAGAAUUAAGUCUGACCAUUUUCCUACCAUUCUUUGCAUUGUAGUUCUAUAACAGUAUUCUGAGGCCUUAUAAAAGCUAUGUGAUGAAUCAUGAUAACUAUAUGGAGUUUAAUCAUGUCAUAACAGAAGGAAGUCGUGCACUGGAAACCAGUUCGAGCUUUUAGAUCUAGGCCUUUUUUUGUCUCAAUCCUCUAUUGCAGGUGAUCUUAUUCUCUUUGCUGAAGAAAGCUUCCAUCAAGCUAAAUUUUGUUUACCCAAAAAAGAAGAGGUGACUAUAAACACAGUACAUACCAUAGAUAAUAUUACUCCACAAUGCUUGGGAUAUUCAUGAGCUUUCUACCGUGUUACCUAAUGCUAUGAUUAGUAAAACCUGCUCUAUACUCCACUGCCCUUACUCCACAAUAUGUAUGCUUGGGAUAUUCCUGAGCCACAAAUCCUGCUUAACUUUACAGUAGUAUUGAAAUUUGGGAGCACAAAACACAAGUUGUUGUCCAUAUAUAUUAGAGAGAAGAUCCAUGCAUUUCGACAAAAUUUAGCUUGAUGGUAGCUUGCUUCAGCAAAGAGAAUAAGAUCACCUGCAAUAGAGGUUUGAGACAAAAAAAGGCCUAGAUCUAAAAGCUCGAACUGGUUUCCAGUGCACGACUUCCUUCCAUCCAUCUAAUAUAUAUGGACAAUCCCAUAUAUAUGGUUUCCAGUGCCGUUGGCUUUAUGGGAACAAUCCCAUCCAUCUGGAGGCAGCGCUCUGGUCUGCAAAUCCAUUUCGAGGGAGACCGAUUCGUGUUCCAAUUUGAUCGGGAAGCAAAUUGCAACAAGGUUCUCCACAGCGGACCUUGUAUUCCACAGCGGACCUUGUAUCUAUCAGAAUGCGAUGCUGGUGACGGCGCCGUACGACGGGAUCUCUACGGUGGUGAACCCUCCUCUUCAUUCCAUUGAGACAUGGGUCUCGAUCUUAGGGUUACAGCCUUUGCUACGCAACAACGCAACAAGAAAUCUCUUCAGUUGAUCGGACAAUCCAUUGGUAAGCUUAGUUCAUCGUUUUGAUAAUUUGGCUCUAAAUCACAAAGAUGAAAAACAAAAGAUUCGUCUAACUAUGGAUACGAGGCAGCGGUACAGAUUUUAUCGCAAUUAUUCUUUUGCUUCUGUUCAUGUUGAUGUUGAGAUCAUCUAUGAGAAAAUUCAAGGUCUUUGUAAGUUUUGUGGUCUUUUUGAGCAUGCUGUUGAGGGUUGUGACAAGCUUUUGUUGAGAGAAGAUGAAGCUUUGCAUGGACUCCCGGUUACAGCGAUGGAAGAACUGACUAUAGCAAAGCCUAAGCUGCUUAAUGGCGGCUUUCUAAGCAGUGAUGUUACACUGAGGGCUGAAAAACAUCUUAGCUAUGCAAUUGGCUGCAAAAGUGAAGGCCUUAAUGCCGGUACAAUUGCCUGAGAAACACUUGAUGGUGAAUGAUGAGUUGACUGCUAGGGUUCUCAAAGCUUGUAAGGCUGGAGGUUUUGUUGUUCCCCCACUUGUUGAGCAACAACAAUCUGCCAAACGAGGAAGAAAGAGGACAAUAGAGCGUCCUCUUGUUCAACCGGGGAAGAAGAUGCUUGAGGUGUCCACAGUUUUGAGUCCGGAAAUUGAAGACUUGAACUUGCGUCUUCCUAAUGAGUUGGGUCGGCUUUUCUGGUGACACCCCCAAAAGAAAAAGGGUGGGCGAUCAAGAGGGUCUACAAACAAGCUUAAGGAGGGUCCACCUCGCCCUACUCUAAAGGGUAGGAAGCGGUUGUUGAAGAUUCUCGAGGAUGAUAUGAUAGAGGAAGUAAAUCCUUCUACUGAUUCUACAGAAGCAAUAAUGGAAGUGGUUGGCAAAGAGGUAGCUCUACCACCAAAGACGAAGUCUCCGAGUGAAGUUGCUGCAGUGGAGAUGGAGAAGGCGGUAGUUGAAGUGGUGAAUUCCACUUCUAUUAUCACAUCUACUUGAUUGGGAGAUCGACAAGAAGAUAAGAAUUUUGAUGUCACAGUUUAUAACGCUUCGGAGUUUUUAAUCUUCUUGUUUUUGGUUUUAUCUUCGUAGAAGGUGAAUGUACUUGGAUUAGGUGUUUUGGUAUGUUUGUGUGAGGAUCGUACUAGGAUAGUUUUUUUGCAUAAUGGUUUUUCUGAUGGCCCUCUGGGUAGGUCAUUAUUAUACUGUUCGCUGAGCUUCAUUAAUGAAUGACCUCUACUUUAAAAAUAAUAUAUAUAUAUAUAUAUAUAUAUAUAUAUAUAUAUAUAUAUAUAAUGGCAUGGUUCGGACAAGAACUGUAUCCUUGAUGGUUGCAGUACAUGGUGAACCUCCAAAAUCUUUUGUCAAGGACAUGUACAAUUUUCAUUUCUUGGUAGCAGACUUCUCUAAUUUCAAAGUGAACGUGUAUUUGGAAAACAAAACUUUGAUGACGUUUGUAUAUCAGAGAGGUUAUUUAGUUGGAAAUCGCAAGACUCCAUGCUUGACGAAUGAAACCGUAUUUCAUUAGUUUGGCUUAAAAACAUUCCUCCUAGAGAAGUUGUUAAUACGAACAACAGAAAUUCUGCUAUAUACAAAAAUAGCUAACGAGCUGUUUUCAAAAAAAAAAAAAAAAAAAAGGAACUAAUGAGCUGAAGCUGGUAAAUUUAGGGUGGAGAAUCAAAACAGCAAAACCUUCUAUAGCUUCUAUCCGUUCGUGUAGUCUUUUUUUCUUCGAACCCUUCACUCCCAUAUCACAGCUACAUUAAAACCAACUAAACAAAUAAACCACUCUACCAUAUAUAAAUAUCUCCUCCCCUUCAUUCUAAUUUCAAUAUUAACAAAUCAUGGCUUCUCAAUACUGCUUUGUUUUGGUUAAUGCAAUAAUUCUUCUUUGCAGCUUGUGUCCGAACCUGAGUUCAGCAAAGGAAACAAAAGUCCUUGGCUUGAAAAUGAACGCAAUUGAUGGUUGCUGGAGAUGGAACCCAAACUGGAGAAGCAAUCGCCAGCAACUCGCUAUGUGUUCGGUAGGAUUUGCUGGAAAAAUGAGCAACAACAUUGGAAAAGAUGUUGUAAACUAUGAAGUAACAGACCCUAGUGACAAUGCGUUAAAUCCCCAACCAGGUACUUUGAGAUAUGGAGCUACUAUGAUCAAGGACAAAAAAUGGAUCACUUUCCAGAGGGACAUGAAAAUCAAACUAGAGAAACCAUUGCUAAUUAGUAGCUUCACUGCGAUUGAUGGAAGAGGUGUCAAUGUCCACAUAGCAGGUAACGCGUGCUUGAGAGUGUUCAAAGCAACCAAUGUGAUCAUCCAUGGUCUUCGAAUCCACCACUGCAAGUCGCAACCACCAAGUACCGUUAUGGGUCCGGACGGAAUAGUUUCGCUAGGCGGGGUUGAUGGAGACGCAAUACGGUUGGUCACUGCAUCUAAGGUUUGGAUAGACCACAAUACACUGUACGAGUGUGAAGAUGGUCUUCUUGAUGUCACUCGUGGAUCAACCAAUGUGACAAUCUCCAACAACUGGUUCAGAGACCAAGACAAGGUAAUGCUUCUCGGCCACGAUGAUGGCUUCUUUCGGGACAAGAAUAUGAAGGUGACUGUAGUAUAUAACCAUUUUGGACCACAUUGCAACCAAAGAAUGCCAAGGUAUGUAAUAACCAUUUCUUUGUUCAGUUAUAUCCAUGACUACUAGAGACAGGUUCUCUUUCCUAAGCACAAGGGGUCACAAUGUUUCAGGAUUCGCCAUGGAUACGCACACGUCGUAAACAACUUGUACAAGGAGUGGACACUGUAUGCCAUUGGCGGAAGCAUGAACCCUAGUGUUAAAAGCGAAGCCAACCUCUUCAUUGCAUCCCAGCAAAACAAAGAGGUAUGUUUUCAAGAAUUAAUCAGUGCAAGCCACAAGAUAUAUGUAAGAUAUGCAAUAAACUUUCCAAACUCUAAACAAACAAAUUCCACAGGUGACUUGGAGAAAGGACAUUGUUAGUGACUCCUGGAAAUUUUACUCCAAAGGCGAUAUUUUUGAAAACGGGGCGUCUUUCGUUCAAACAGGUCAAGGUGGAGCCGAGCCGCUCUAUAAUAAGGAACAGAAUUUCCAAGUUGUUGAUGCCAAAUCUGUCCGGCCAUUGACAAGGGCAUCAGGUGCUCUAACAUGCACCAAACAAUCCAGAUGCUAGUCAUAGGCUCAGGAAAAUACAGCAGAAAAAUGGAGCAUCAAUGGCAGCAACCAUCUUAGACUACAGAAAUUAAAUCACACCUAUUGUAAAAGUUUAUAACUAAAUUGUACCGACUUUCCUAAAGCAUUGUAUACAAUAAAAGCGGUUUGAGUAGUAAACUUCGUACUAAACCCAAGCAUACAAGAAUACUAUGUCAAGAAAGUGACUGCAAAAGAAAAAGAACAAAAAAAACUACACAAGAGCAUGACAUUCUUUUCUGACAUGAUCCCUUAAUGCGGAUUAGUGUCUGGGCCUCGACUAGAGUCAAAUGUCGAUUGCAUCUGGGAUUUGGCUCUAGUACAUUUUCCUCUUCCAACUAAACUAUAGUUUAUCAUGAUCUUCCAACAUUUGGAUAUCAAAAAGAGAGAAUGUGCUAGAUUCAUAAUGGGACUUCAUGAUAACUUACAUGUGAGGAUGUAUUAGAUCUGUGGCGGAGGGAGAAAUAUAUUUGCAUGGGGGCACAAUAAAACACACACAACGCACCAAACACAAAAUAAACGGUAUAAAUCAUUGGUUAAUGAACACAGUUUCUCUAAUUGAAUACAUUCUCUGCGUUUGCAAGCAGUGCACUCGAGCUAUUUCCAAUCAAUUAGAAAACCCUUUGAACCAGGGAGAUGUAAACCUUCAUUUUCGAACCAAACCGAUAAAAACAAAAUCAAUAAAAUAUGGGGCUCCUAAAAUAUUCCUAACACAUAAUAACUAAUCAAAUCGUAGUAAUAUAGGACAUUAGGACAUCAUAAUCUUGCAUUCUCUAAUCAUGAAUUCUUUAACAAAGUUUUCAAUUGGAAAUAUAUGAAAACAGAGAAGAAGAAAAACAGUAAAGCACCAUGAAUCACAAUAACAAGACAAUAUUGGUUUAUAUUCUUCAAAUUGAUCAUUCUAAAAUAAUACGAGAGAUUAUAGACGUAAGACAUUAUCGGUUGAUCUCAAAAACAUUAUUUUUUUGACAAAUGAACGCAGUAAUAUUGACAAUUGAGGUUGAAGACAUGAAUGCCAGCACACUGAUAUAGUGUUUGGCACACUGAAGACAUGAUACAGCAGGAGAAUGGCGUAUUAAUGGCAGCAGACAUCUCAUACAACAAAAGAUAAAUCACACCUACUGUAAAAGCUUACAACAAAAAUGUACCAACUUCGAAAAACAUUGUAUUCUAUAGUGGUCUUAGUAAACAAUGAGCUUUUGAACUAGUACCAAGCAUACAAUAAUACUAUGUAAAGACAAGUGAAAAGAAAAACAAAGGGUUCACAGGACCAUGCCUUUCUUUCUUUAAUCUUCGUCAUCAGAACAUGCAUAUGCUAAGCCUAACAAGCUUUGUGAAGUAGUUUCCACCUUAGACUCAUCAUCUGUUUUGAUCGAUGGUGAUGACAAAUGCGCUUUGUCCUUGUCCAGGUCAGAUUCAGGCUUAAGGUUUGUUGAAGUAGCACCAACAUUCUUUUGGGGGAGGGACAACUGAUUACCAUUAGAUGGACUUGCAACUUUCUGCUUUUUCGGUUUAAUUUCUACCACCUUUUUCAGUAGAUCUUGUUGUCUGCAGCACAAAACACAAUACAUUAAACAUGUAUUUUAACAAAGACAACUCAAUGGGAUCCUCAGAGAGUUGCUAUAUAUAAGAUGCUAAUGCUAUUAUUUGGUUUCAAGAUAGAUCUAUACCUAAUCCCACUUUUUUGUUUGGGCUCUACACGAAGUGUCAAGGGAGCCGAUACAGGUGAAGAAUCUGCCAAACUUGCAGCUUUGUGUGCAUUGGUUAAGUAAACUAAGAUAGAAGAGGGAGAAUAAACAUAAACCUCAAAAACAUGCAUCAAGGAUUCAACAUAGACAGAAAUGUGCAAUCUUGCAUUCUUUUGCAAAUAAACCUCAAUACCAGCAGGAUGUCUGCUAAUGAUAAGAAACAGUAUUACCAUUCAACACACAACUUUUACGGCAAAAGACUGUCAUAACUCAUGACAUCAGGACAGCAGCAAGGGAAAGAUACCACCAAGCUUAAAAAUGAUCAACAUAUUUUAAUAAUUUAUGCCCUCCAGCACAAACUUCGGAUACCGCAAUAUGGAAAUAAAACUGGCAGUUGCCACAGAGAUAGAGUAAAACUAUUAGAUGAAAAGAAAAACAAAACAUGUAGUAAGGGAAAGGGGGAAAGCAAUCAUAAUGGGUUCCUCAAUUUCUAUUAUCAGCCAUCACAGUACUCAACUAAAACAUAAAACACCUCAUGGUAAAUACAAUUCACAACAUGUUGAUUUACUCUGAAAAAAUAUCAAAACAAGCCUACAUUUUUUUUAGUCGGUGGGCCACCGGCAAAGAAAAUGGUAUACUCGUUUCAGAUGUCCAACGUUAUCAGCACUACCUAUGUGAGUACUCAGUAUGACUGUAGUCAGAUGGCACAUGACAAUUUAAAUUAAAGAAAGAGGAUCACAUACAAGAACCAUAUCAAUACAUCAAGUUUGACAGAAAAAAUGCUUGUUACCAGCUACUAAGUGCAUGCCACGACAAUAAAAGCAAUUUCAUUAAAGGAUAUCUUAAAUGCAGCAAAUGCUCGUUUCUCAGUGCGGCGAAGGAGGCGUUCUGCAUCCUCCUCAGCUUCCAUCUGCUCCUUGAGAUAUAAUAGGUCAUCACUGUCCAAGGCUGUAUACUCAAACUUACACAGAUGGCAACAAAGUAAAGAGCUAAAUAAAAAUAAACUUAAAGUGGUGGACUUGUGCAUGACUCAAAUGCACACUUAGAAACAAAGAGAGAUAGUAAAAGCAAUAGCUGCAUUCCUUGAAUGCAUACUUGGUCUCAACGCACCCAUGGGGCACCACGAAAAAAAAAAAAAAAAAAGCAGAGAGAAAGAGAGAGAUAUACCGCCUCGGCCAUGAAGGUAGCCUCCACGUUCUCCAGCAACCUCUUGCAUCUGCAUGCAUCAACCAUCCAGUAGAAGAAGCCAGGAUCCCUGUCAGGGCAUGUUAUCAGAAAUCUCCCCUCUCAAGCAAAUAUACAUUCAAAGAUGCAAGUGAGGUAGAAACCACACCAUAUCAUCAACAAUCCAACUACUUCCAACGUCAUAAUAAAUCUUCAAUUACGACACUCAUUCUAACUAACUUCACCAGCCAAAUUGAAAAACGUACGCUAUAAGAAUUCACAGUACUGAGCACUGAUCAAAUAUACCAAAACACAUUUCAUGGAAUGGCACUAAAACAGUUCAAAUCAUAGAGAAAUUGGUUUCUGUUAUGUUGAUUACUAAUACAAUAAUAGUAUGGAAGUGUCAAUGCUAAUCGAAUUCACUGCCUAUCUAUUCUUGUUAUUUUAGACUCAGCCCAGAAUAGAAUCCGACCCAAUUUAAUACUUAGAGACAAAUCAGUUCAUACUUCAGAGUACCCAUACAGAUGAACAUUAUAUAAUUCUGUAUUUUCAACUUGAAUAGGAAAAAAGUGAGAGAGAAAACAAUGCGCUAACCUUUGCGACCAUGCGUUGGAAGGUGACGUCUUCGUCGUCUAUCUUAUCCUUCCCUUUCCCCCAUUUUUUAUCUGCCAAAAUCGAUUCAGAGAAGCAUCAAUUUUGAUUCUCAUCGUAACAAAAACCCGACGAAAAGAAAGAAAAAGAAGAUACCUUUGGGGUCGGUGAGAUUGGUGUAUUCUCGAACUUCUCUGCCUGCCAUUGUGGGAUUGCGAAAGGUGUGAUAUGAUUUCAGGUGCAAACCCAAUCUGAGACUCUCUCACAGAGGUGUGGGAUUUUUCGAGUUAGGGAACCAAGAUUUCUGACGAUCCCGUUUAAAAUAUAUAUUGGAUCGUCGGAAAUCUAUACGUAAGGAGCCUUCUGACCAUGAUAAGUCGAGGACUAGGCGAGGAUUUCUCGGUUUUAUCUUAUUUUUUAAUUUUAUAUCUAUAUCUUAACUAUUCAGAUCAGUAUUCAUGAGCGGAUCAUUUCUACUAAUUUUCAGUCAUAUUGAAAAUCGUUAAGCAUAAAUGUAAUUUACUAAUUAUGAACUUGAACGAUUCAUAUUUGACAGAUUUAGUUCAUUAAUUAAUUUAAUCUAGUUUGUUACCUUAACGCUCAUCGAUUAUGCUAAAAAAUUAUAGGAAUGAUCUAAUCAUAUAGACCUAAAAAAUGAAUGGAUGAGAUGCCAAGAUGUGAUCGAAAAAUAUGUCUUUUAAACCAUAAACCGAAAAGUCAUCUACAAAUCCUCAUUAUAGAGGUCCUCACUAGAAAUGCUCCCUCUAUAUGUACAGGCAAAAAAAUAAAUACCACCACUAUAUAUAUAUAUAGAGGCCCGAUCAGAGGCGGACGUCCUCACCAGGCUUAAAGUGUGGACGUCCCUCCGUUCUCCAUCCUCCAGCGCCGACGACGGCGCGCCUCCACCCUAGAAGACUCCAGCAGCGUCUCCGACCACUUUCCCUCCCCGGUGAGUCCGUUCUUUUCCAGUUUUCCGGCGAGAUCACCAAAAACUUCAAACAAGAUCAAUCUCGCCGAAAAACUGGAAAAGAAUGGACUCGCUGGUGAGGGAAAGUGGUCGAGGACGCUGCUGGAGUCUUCUAGGGUAGAGGCGCGCCGUCGUCGGCGCUGGAGGGUGGAGAAUGGAGGGACGUCCGCACUUUAAGGAUCGUGCGGACGUCCGCCUCUGAAUGGGUAUAUAUAUAUAUAUAUACAGUUCUUAUCUAAAGCGAAACUUCACUUUGAAAUUAAAGUGUGAAGUUUCUUAUUUGACUCAUUUUUCGGUCAUAUUUCCACAUCUCCACUGUUCAGUUUGUAGAACCUAAUGCAUAGAUCAUUUUUGCCAAGUUUCAUUGAAUUUGAUGAUCAUUUGGGUUUUGUCAGUGAGCCGUGGUUUGGUUGGUUAAGGUGUUACCUGACAACUUUGAGGUCACGGGUUCAAACCUCAUGGACAUAUGUAGGGUGUGUGAGUUAUUAAUAUAAAAACGUUUUAAAAAAAAAUGAUCAUUUGAGUUUUCAUAAUCGUUAUUUACACAAACAGUUCUGAAUAGACAGAUUUAUGGUCUGUUCAUUGAUUUAAUCUAAUUCGGUAUCUUAAUGACUACCAAUUUGAAUGAAACUUGACAUAAGUGAUCUAUGCAUUAGGUUCUACAAAUUAAACGGUGGAGAUGUGGAAAUAUGAACGAAAAGUGAGUCAAAUAAGGAACUUCACAUUUUAAUUUUCAAAGUGAAGCUUCGCUCUGGAUAGGAACUGUAUAUAUAUAUAUAUACACACUAUGAAGGGAACGUUUGCAUCGAAGAAAAAGUGUGGACGUCCCUCCAUUCUCCUCCGUCCGGCGCCGACAACGGCGCUCCUCCACCCGAGCGGACACCAGCGGCAUCCCCGAUCACUUUCUCUUCCCAGCGAGUCCGUCGAAUUCCAGUUUGCCGGCGAGAUUGACAUUGUCUGAAGUUUUGGGUGGAGGUUACUGCCUAGACCUUCAAAUCGAUCUUGCCGGCAAACUGGAAUUCGGCGGACUUGUCGGGAAGAGAAAGUGAUCAGGGAUGCCUCUGGUGUUCGCUCAGGUGGAGGCGCGCCGUCGUCGGUGUCGGACGAAGGAGAACGGAAGGACGUCCGAACUUUUUCUUCUGUACGGAUGUCCGCUUCAUAUCGUUUUCGUGUGUGUGUGUGUGUAUAUAUUUCAUCUUCAGAGUGUGACACCACUCUGAAAUUAAAGUAUGGUGCUCCUCAUUUGGCUCAAUUUUAUGUCAUAUUUUCACAUCUCCACCGUUCAGUGUCUAGAACAUAGUGUGUGAUCAUUCCUGCGAAGUUUCAUCCAAUUUAGAGAUCAUUUAAGCUUCCGUAAUUGUGANNNNNNNNNNNNNNNNNNNNCUUUUUUUAUUUAAAUAACUCACACACCCUACAUAUGUCAAUGAGAUUUCGAACCCAUGACCUACAAAGUUGUUAGUUAACACCUUAACCAACCAGACCACGGCUCACCGACAAUAAAUAAGAUGAAGUUCUCUAUUCUCUUUGUUGUUUCCUUAGAGGGCCUCGUCUACCCAUUUCAAAGGGCUAAAGCUAAUUUGUAAUCCAAAAAAAAAUACAAAAUAAUGAAAAAGUAAAAGUGACCGAGAUGCGAGGGAAAAACAUUUUUCGGCUGCUCAUAUCCCACACACGUGGUCUAUUCACUAGGAAAGGGGUCGAGCUGACUGAUGAGUGCUUUUUUAGUCUUUAUAAAAAGGCACUCAUCUGAUGUGGGGAUAACAUGGGUGGAUACGUACAAGUAUAGCCAAAUCAAGAUGAGGCAGGAUGGACAGUAAGAGGCCGCAGCGGGACUACCAUAUGAAAGAUAUUUUUAAUAAUUCACUCAAUAACACGUUAUCAGCACGCUCUUGAGCUGAUAACACCACCACAAAUUAAACCCGUCCCUUUUUUUUUUCUUUUUUUUUUUCUUAAAAAAGCCCCUGGCCCCUCGCCUCCAUUGUCGACCAUCUCCAGCCGUUGCUCCCCGGCGCCAUCCGACCAUCUCCGGCUUUUUCAUUCAAGAUCUGAAGAUUCGAAAGGUACGUUUAAGCGUGAAUUUUUAAAUUCAAAUAACUCGGGGGUGGGGGUGAGGGGGAUAAAGUGUUUUCCUCCCUUCUCCAUCUCCAUUCCCUUGCUUGGAUUUGUGUAUUUGCAGGAAAAUCCCAGAACUAAGAGCGUUCCUAGGUCCAGGUUGUGUUGUAUUAACCUCGACACUAUUUCGGGUUGUGUUGUAUUAACCAUGGUACUAUUUCAGGAUUGUGUAGUAUCAAUCCUAUGGACAAACACAAUUAAGCAUAGAAAUUAGUGAUCGUAUUCGGGUCUCAAAUGAAGUGCUUGAAUUUUUUUCAAUUCGUAUCAGUUUUUCAGAUUUCAUGAGGUUGUUCCAUAAUCUUUAGCGGAUUCGAUCAUCAUCAAUUUCUCUAGGCCCUCUAAUUUGGUUUAUGUUCAUGUCAGGGAGAUUACUAACUAGUCAUGGAGUUUAUUCAUACUAAUGCAAUGGGAAUUGCAUACACGCUGAUGUUCAAAACACCCUCUCAACCCCACUUGUGGAGAUCCAGUAUCAUGUUGUAUCAAUCCAUGAUUGUGUUGUAUCAAUCCGAAUGAUAACCAUUGUUGAUGUUAAAGUAUUUUCACAACAAAGGAUUGAAUUAAGUGACCAUAAUGUAUCAUGGUCUUGAUUUAAAUGCUCAGAAUUAGUAGCGUAUAUUUAUACUAAUAUUGGAUUUAAACAUCGUAAUUUUCUUUUUGAGUUGGCUUCCAACUUAUUUGUCCAAAAUAAUUUUGACAACAUGGAUUCAUAAGGAAUGUCAUAUGGGUUGUCUACGUGAACUUUCAUUGGAAAGUGAUACACCACUAAUAUUGACCCCAAGGCUAACAAGCCUAGAUUCUGAAAUUUAAAAUCUCUCGCGCUCAAACUUUUAAGACAUCAUAUCGACAAAAGUCUUUAAAGGCCAUAUGUGCAAAAGUAAUGCCCACGAAAUACUAUGAAAUACACUAAUGGACCGUUUAUUGAAACGUUCAUAUAUAUAACUCUACUUGUUGAGUUACUAAUCAAGUGGAAUGUUUACCACUUAUUUGACUACAUAUCGUUGAUGAUAUUUCGUGGCAUCAUUAUCCAAAGACUCCUAAAGAAAGAGGGCAUAGAUGUAUUUAGCAUAUGCGCGCACAUGAAAAAAUCUCUGAGUGUGGUGAAUGCAUGGGUCACGACACAUUACCCUAGAGGUCAUGCUAAUGUGUAGACGUGAGAGGGAGGCGAAGUUGGUCCUUGUGGCUACUCUCCCAAGACUCGACACCCAAAAGUCAAAACGGAUAAAGCUAUAAAUGAACCAUGUUAUCGACAUAGACAUAGCACUCGUUUAGAAAAUUGCUAUGAACAAAUAUUUUCAUGAGCAUCCCAAAGAAAAUAGAAAUAGCUCUAAUGUUGCAAUUUCUUGAGCAUUGAAAAAUAAUGGCCAUGAUAAAAGGAAGAUCAAGAGCCUUUUAAAGACCUCGAUAUGCUGUUGGUACAAUUUCGAAGAAUUUCUCUAAAUAGUGAAAAUUUUCGAGUAUUGUUUAUUCUAUGGUUCGAAUCUAUACAUAACAAUGUAUAAUAUCCUUAGAAAAUGACAUAAAUCACAAUCCAAAUGGUGGAUUGCACCAUUUUUGGUCUCUCCCAAGGGGAGGAUACGCACGGUAAUGCAUCCUCAAGGAGGAUGUGCCGUGUUUUUGGUUAAGUCUUCUAAUUAUAGCGGAUUUUUCAUCAUCAAUUCAAUUGUUCAACCAGGCUCAUCCAAACUCAGUGUGAUGUUUUAGAAUUGUCCAAAAUUAAGGAGAUAAUGGUAUCAAGUGUGCCUCACACUACCGACCCUCCACGGACAUGUUUAGUUAUACUGAAUUAGAGUUACCAAAAGCUUUUGAUUUUGGAUCCCCUUACGCUAUUUGAACAUUGUCGUCUUUUCAUAAGACGUUAAAGACUUCAAAUACCACAUUAUUGAUGAGGAAUCAUGAGCUUUGCACAUUGCAAACUGCGAAACCAGAAAAAUUGUUUUGUGGGCAAUCAACUUCUUAUGAGCUUUGUGAUCAUCUCCGGAUGAACUACAAUGCUUGUUUUAUAUGGUUGGAAAGCUCAUUUGAGUCUAGUUUCCAAAUCAUCUCACGGUUCAUCCAUAUCUAUAUUUUAACGAAUAAGUUAUGACUGUUUUAGUGCACCAAGGUUAAGAUGCACGGGAAAAUUUUGCACUCUCGGGAUUGUAGUGUGUUUUCAAUCCUUCUAAAUGGUUCAAGUGAAACUAUUUCCUCAUAUAUCUACUCUCUUUUAGUAGGUAUGUCUCGCGGAGACAUUGAGUGCCUCGUAGUUAGUGGAACUACCCACAUGAUUCUAAGGAACCGACAACUAAUUUUGGAUUUAAUGCGUUAUAAAUAUUUUGUGACUGCGAUAAUUGGAUCAUCACCAGUCAUUCAUAGACACUGUUAAAUCGAUUUAUGCUGCUUCAUGGCACCAUGAUCAAUGUCACAUAUGUCCUCUAUGUAUUGAGAGGUAAUCAAACAUUGUUAUGUUCUAAGAACAUACACAUCAACAGUUACCAUAUGAAACUCAUUGUGAGAGUGGAAGAAACUUUUGUGAAAACUUCUCAUGAGUGCGAAUGAAAGCGCAUCAUUGAGAGACACAUGAGUCAAUCUAGCGGACUGUAUGUCACUACGAUUUGAAUAUCAAAUCCUAUGUUGUCGCCAAUAAAGCUAUUUUAGGACAUCAACUCAUACAAGUUGACAUGAUCUUUUAUGUCAUCCUGGAAGAGAUAUGAUGAUCCGAAUUUUACGAAAUUCUCAUGGACAUCUUUUCUUCCAAUCAAAACGAAAACAUUUGGGAAAUAGCAUCACCAUAAGGCAUGGUGGUGACACCACGGUGGUAAGUGGCGGCCCAAAGAGGACAUUGACGUCCCCCAGACUCGCGAUUGGCUCUAAUUUCCUGGAGACCACACGGCAGAACCCUCAAGCAAUUAAGGCGAGUCGACCUUCCCUUGAUGUUUCAUUGGCUCUUUCCAAUGCUCAUCGUUCGUUUUGCAAAGUUUGCUCUCUAGCCACAAUAGUGAAACCCUCUUACGUUAAUGACAUAAAAGAGAACAUUACAUUCUUACAACAAAUCCAAAAGGGAUUAUGUAGACAGAUACAACCAACUUACGGACAUAUUUUAUGUCAUAUUAUGUUGGUUGUAGCGUUAACACACUAGUCACUUGUUACACAAUUGCCUACUACGUAUUUAUGUUGCUUAUACUUCUAUGAGCUCCCUAGCUAUUCUUAAAGAAGUUUUUCAUCAAAUGGUUGAUAACUAUGACAUAUUAACGGGUAUUGAUAUUGAUAACCUAUUUGGUCUCCCAGACAACGACUACGAUAAUAGUCUUGAGAUUGAUAGAUGUGUACAAUACUUCCAUUCAGGGUUAUAUAUCGCAUGCAACGUUACUAAAUUCAUCUAUGACAUACCAUCAUUGAAUUUUUAUUACACUACAACUCGUGACUGUAUGAGAUGAUUGACUUGGCAUUGCAAUCCUUGAGCUCGGCAGGAUUGAAACGGAUCUCCAAUCUUUGAGCUCGGCUAGAUGUUGUUUCUAGGUGUCAAAUUGCACUACCCACAGUGGACAAUGAUGGGUCCUCUAAGAUGAAUAAGUAUUUAGGUAUUGGGUAUAACCUCCACCUAUAGUCCGCUUAUGAAGAGUCCUUGACAGACGAUUUCUUUUACCGUUAUAUUUGUUGAUUGUCACUUUGAUGAGACAAUAUUCAUGCCGUUAUGGGGAGAUAAGAACACAAGUGUUCAAGUGUAACGACGUGGAUUGUCGUGGUUUGUCCCUACUAAGUCUCAUCUUGAUCCUCAAAUCUUUCGCACAAAACAAAGUGACCAAAAGAAGUUAAUCUUGGCGCCAUCACCAUGGAUGGUAAUAUGGUGUUGCCAUACAGUGGCAAACAUGGUGUCACAAGCCGUGUGGCUCCCCAAAGGAAGGAAGGAGGCUAUUAGGUUCGAUACUUACUCACCCAAGGAUGAGAGCGAGCUUGGCACAACCAAAUCUAUCGAUCCGUGAUAUUGAAAUCCUUCUCAUAGAGUCUGAAUUGUAAUUAUCGUUGGAGGACGCCUCAGUGUGUCAAAUCCAAUCCAGAUAGAGAUCUCUACAAAUAUUAAUUACAAUAGUGUACAUGAGGACGUGAAAUAAUGGGUCUUUGAACCACAUAUAUAUAUUGUCUUAAGUAGUCCUCAACUUAUGGUCCUCAUUAGAACCACACUCUUGGACCCACAACGUUUUAGUUCAGAUGAUUUGUCUGAAAAUUUUGUUUCUUUUUAGAUUGAGCUGAGACAAAAUUGAUAAAACAAAAUGAAGAGAAUUUUCCCAAUUAUAUUCUCAGUUGGGUGAAAAAUUUGAGAAACCAAACAACUGCUGCUCUCAAAUUUUGAACAGAAAUAGCAACAAAGGAAUCCCUUGACUCUGAAGAAAAUGAAGCCCGAAAUUGAACCUUUUCCUCCAUAGUAAAUACUAUAUAGCCAUAUACAUCCUCUUACUUCUAUAUCUUUCAAUCCAAGUAACCACUUUUGCUUCUAUCAAUCUACAGAAAAAUAAAAUGUCAUGGUCAUGUAAAAGGAAAGACUUACGAGACCAGGAAACUAUGCAAAUCUUUACAAUUAAUUAGGGCAGGAGCCGAUCACAAGGCCUAAGCAAAUACCUUGCUUUUGUAAAUCUCAAUAGCUUUACGUCUCAUAGCAUCCUUGUUCUCAUUUAUCUUCUUCUGCAUAACAAGCUUUUGCAGCUUCUCUUCAUGACUCUCCAUCCCACAAAAUUGCUCAACUUGAGCAAGAGUCACAUUUUCCUUGUGCCCAAGAGAGAUGAUUUCAUCAAAAGAAAAAAUCAGCUCGAAAGCUUUUUUGCAGAUUCCUUCUUCAUCUAGCGAACAUGAAUUUUCAAGUACCUAUAGAAAAUUUGAGGAAUAAGAUCCAUGAUUUUACUUUUCCAGCAUUUUUGAUACACACAUUUCAAAAACAAAGGAUACAAUUCGCGUAGAAAAACAACUUAUGGCCCAAAGUUUACCUGAAAGACCUUAGAUUUAGUUCAGAAAUAUGGAAACAGAAGAUUUAGCAUUUUUGAUAUGCAGUAUGUCGUAAAUUUAAUUUGCAUGAAAACCACCUCUACAUACAAAAUGAGAGGACCUCAUCGAAAAAAAAAAAAAUACAAAUUGAGGAUUUAGAAACUGUCAACAAACUUUCCUUCAAAUUCCAGCUUGUCUGCAUUUUUUGUUUUUUGUUUUUAUUACUUUUAACACUAAUUUACUUCUUUUCCUCAUAUCAUCAUGCAAGUUUCGAAAAAGGCAAUUGACAAGUGACAUAUGAAUCAUAAUGUGUGAUAUAGGAUCGAUCACAAUUCACAAAAAGCAGCCAUGAAUACAUGAAAAAUGAGGCAAUGCAGAUCAAUGCAAACAUUUUAUCACAAUUACAGUACUAGAAUCAUCAGGUCAUUAUUGUGCAAGAACAGCAUGAUUGAUGGAUUCAAGAAGUUAACUAAAUGGUCAAACAAGAAUGAAGAUAACCAUGGCCAAUGUAAAAAAGAUACAACCUUAGAGAGUAGCCUUAACGUGUCCAAGUCUUCACAAAUAUUGCUGUGCUUGUUUGUAACAAGUACCAAGUAUGUUGCUUCUACAGGCUGGUAAACAAAGCGAACAUUUUCUGUCUCAAAAUAUGUAUGUUGUUUUUCAGUAGUGCCUAGUAACUUGGGAAAAGCCACAAGAAGACCCUCAAUUCUUGUUCGAGGCAUAUCCGAAAACUGUCGAGAAACAAGCACUACAAGACAAAUUUUUUUUUUUUUUAAACGAUUUACUGACUACCAAACUGAAUCAAUGAUAAGAAUGAAAUAUAUGGUUAGCGCAGCUGUGCAUGUAUCCCAAAAGUACUAUAUGCAAUUUCUCAGUAAAACAGAAAAUAACAAGUAAAUGAAACAACUAUGGUGCAUAUAUGAGAAAAGUAUCCCUCAUAGUGCAUUACGUACUCCCUCUAACAUUCUAGUAACAACUUAGGAGUUGGAGACUGUAAUGGUAGUAAUCUCGAGGAAGAAACAUCAUAUUACACUCAUGAACAAGUGCUAAUUUUUGACCUGCCUCCACAUAUAUGUUUCGGAUAGGUUUAAAUUUUAUCACUUCUCAUUUAUAGUCAUCAUCAGCAAUCUACAACGCAUUAGUUUUCCUAUAGUGCACUUAACGUAUAGACAUAAAAGGGCAAGAAUGAAUCGAUCUUUUCAAUAGUUAGCUAGUCACAUAAUCAAAAGAAAAGGAAUGCACAGAACUCACCUUUCCCGGCCUUGGUUACAACUGAAGCAGCCAAAACAACCUGGAUUACAAAUAAAUGAAAGGGCAUGCAAGAUGAGAAAACAAAAGCUUAUAUUAAAUAAAUAAAUAGAACUUGAUAUAUAUUUAGCGGCUGCGCGCAUCUUCUAUUGAAGUUGCAUUCAAAGUUGUUUCCCAUGGCGGAUUGUACGUGAAGUGUUUGAAUAUUUACAUACUCAUCAGUGAACUGGAAGAAUUUAUUCACCUACAACACUCAAAAAUUCAAUCUAAAGUUAAGAGAAAGGGAAGUUGAUGGUUUUACCAUGUCGAAUCGAUCACUUGGUGAUAAAGCACACGAAUAGAUGGAGCACCUUACAAAUAAAAAGGUGUGAGGCAUGAGCACCAAGUUACAAAAUUUCUAAGCUUGCGAUACUCAAAUCACAGAUUAUAAUGGAAGCACAAUGAUAUGAUGAAACUAAUUAAAUGAUCGAUCAUCACUACAAUAACAGAGAGAAAACUUAAGAUCCAUGACGUGAACGGGAAAGGAAGAUGAUGGAGGAGAAAGAAGACUCACAGGACUACGAGGGUUUGAAGCUGGUGCGUCGAAUCAUCAGUUCUCUGACUUCACUCAUAUAUAUAUAAUAUAUAUAUAUAUAUAUAUAUAUAGAGAGAGAGAGAGAGAGAUGCUCUUCAGGUCGAUCCCUUUCCAGCAAGGAGAGGGUAUAGGAAUCAAUGCUUAAUACUCCUAUUUCCUUAUGGAAAAGGAAUCCGGGAACAAUAAGCAAAAGGAGAUUUUGGCUCUUAUAGAGAUGAGGUUGGAAGCCUCGUGCAUUAUGCUAAGUUGUACGUACUGAUCGAGUCUCUCUAUACAGGUUCAGCUGCUUGACAAAGUAGAAGUAAUCUCAUUCGCUAGCUAGGUACUUGCCUUCAAAUUGAAGGCUAGCCUACCUUCAUUUGUGGAUGAAAGCAAAGACAUUUUAAAGACAUGAUUGUACUGAUCCCUUCCGAAAAUUCACGGGACAAAUUGUACAAUAUGUUUCUCACGGCGUACGUAUUUACCUAGUGCAAGGAAUCUCAAGAAGAAUUCAAGAACUUGGUUCCUAGGAAUACGAGUUCCUAAACAUAUAUUGAAGCAAUGCCCUGAUCAUGAUGAUCUGAAUUUGAAUGAGCGUCACUUGCUUUUACAAUGGAAUGCGUGAUAUUUAUGGACAAGAAGUAUAUUUAUGAUCUGAGUGUUUUAACGAUUAUUAAAUUAGCUGAAAAUUUGUAGAGAUGAUCUACAUGUUAGUACCUAAAGACUAGACGGUGGAGAUAUAAAAAUUCGAUUAAAAAGUGAGUCUAAAAUAAAAAUCUGCACCAUAAGAAUAAAUAAAGAUGUCCUUACUUGAGAAAAUCUAUUAUUAUUUUUUUGAAUCCAAGGGCUAGAAUGGCAGCCCGGCCUCACGUCAUAACCAUUUACAAAACCUCAUAAUACAAGAGGGGGGACAUUGUGCCUAAACCCCAUACUGUGAACCCUCUUAGUCUUUGGUUUCUUCAACAAGCUCACAUCAUAACUCAACUUAUGCAAUUCAAGCAUUUUAUGAGGCAUUAUUUUAUCAUCAAUAUGAUCAUUAAUUAAUUAAUAGCAACUUAUUGACGUACUACUCUGGUUUAAGGCGGUGAUUGACGUAGUGAGUUGCUUGAUUGCUUCUUCAUGCUUCCUAACUUGUUUGGUGACGACCUAGGUAAUCGAACUAUUCUUGGAAUUCUCAUAGUUAGAUUUAUGGUUGUAACUUGUGAAAGACCCUCUUACUCUUAUGUGGCUCGUAGUACUUGGUUUGCACCUUGUCACCAAACUUGUAAUCGGACUUUGCCUUUUUAUAUAUCUUUCUUAAUGCACUAACUCUAAGUUCGAUAUGGACUUUGCUCAUUGGUCAUUGAAUCAUUGGCUUUAGGGAAAAAUGCUCAUUUAGUACUAAUUUGAACCCCUCAUUCUCCAUUCCAAUGACAAUCUUUUUCAUUAGCCCAUUCCAAUAUAAGGUAACCUUUUUUAUGCCCAAAUGCACAAAUCUUUACUAAAGUCUUAAUAAACCAUAUUAUUUUAAGACUAUUUUGCCCUCAUCCUUUAAACAUGCAUAGAGAGAGAAAAUGAAAGAGAGAAUACUUGGUCGGAAUCUCACCGGACUCCGACUCCGGCCACCGGCCGCCGGACUCCGGUCACCGGAAUGUUCCCGACCGUCGGACUUCGGUCACCGGAAUUUUCCCGACCGCCGGACUCCGGUCACCGGAAUUUUAACCAGUUACUAACCAGUUAACGACCCCUAAUAACCAGUUAUUAACCCCCAGUAAUCAGUUACUGACAACCAGUAACUAGUUACUGACACCCAGUAACCAGUUACUAACACACAAUAACCAGUUACUGACCAGUUAACGACCCCUGAUAACCAGUUAUUAACCCCCAGUAAUCAGUUAUUGACACCCAGUAAUCAGUUACUGACCAGUUACUGACACCCAGUAACCAGAUACUGACCAGUUACUGACACCUAAUAACCAAUUACUGACCCCUAGUAAUCGGUUACUGACCAGUUAUUGACACCUAGUAACCAGUUACUGACCCCCAGUAAUCACUUUGUUUUCAGUUACUGACACCUUGUAAAACACCUAAUAAUCAUUUUGUUUUCAGUUACUGACACCUAGUAAUCACCCAAUAAUCAUGUUGUUUUCAGUUACUGACCAGUUACUGACACCCAGUAACCAGUUACUGACCUUAAUAAUCGAGUUACUGACCAUAAUAUUCAAAUGUAAGGAUAAAAAAUAAAAAUAAAAAAAUUAACUGACUUGAUCUGGGCACCCAGUUUCUUCUCUGGGCACCCACCUUCACCGAAGAGAAGGAGUUGCAGUCCCCGGCGGCCUCCUCCACCGAAGAGAACAAGUCGCAGUCCCCGACGGCCUCCUCCACCGAAGAGAACGAGAACACCGGCCUCCUCCACUGACCUCGGCGCACGCCGGCAAGCAAGGCCCUUCCCCAGCCACGAUCCAGCCAAGUCGAACUCCAACCAAGCCCCGAGCGCACCCCGGCAACACCAUCAUCGAUCUCGGCACGAACCCAGCCCAUCCUCGACGCACUCAUGCCCAGUCUAAACGGAGACGGAAGAUGAGCGAGAACCGGACUAGCUCGUCGGCGCAAGAGGACGGCGGCGAAUCUCCGACUGACUUGGCCGCACGGAGAGAGAGAGAGAGAGAGAGAGAGAGAGAACGNNNNNNNNNNNNNNNNNNNNNNNNNNNNNNNNNNNNNNNNNNNNNNNNNNNNNNNNNNNNNNNNNNNNNNNNNNNNNNNNNNNNNNNNNNNNNNNNNNNNNNNNGUUACAGGGUAAUAUUGUCUUUUUCUCAAGAAUCAUUGGAAUGAGCAUAAGGAUAAGACUUUAAUUGGAAUGGGUUUUAAUUUUCAAAUAUUUGGGCAUUAGGGCAUUUUCCCAUUAAAGAAUCCUUUAUAUGAUCAUACGUGGUAUAUAUAUACGUACAACCCUCUUUGUUUAGGGCAUUUGUGAAGUUUUUUCCUGCAUCACGAAUUUCUAGUUCCCUUUUUCUACUUGGACACAGAUUCUCAUCCUUUUUGUAUGUUGUAUUAGGGACAUUUAUUAGGGACAUUGAAGUAUUGUAAAGGAUUUUAAUCCAUGUUCAUAUAUUAAAGUUUUAUGGAAGCCAAAGUUACAAAAACUAAGAACUCUGGAUAUAUAUACCACGUAAAAAUUGAUGACUACACGUAAAUGAUAAGAACACAUUAAACCUGAGUCGAUUGACUCCGAGCUCAACUUGAAAUCCAGUCUGCAUCAUAUCGGGUAUUGCAUAUUAGAAGACCUCUUCAAUUGCAUGCUUGGAAUAUAAUUUCUGGAUGAUCUUCGAAGAUCAUUAAUCUCACGAAAAGGAACAGAGUUCAAGUUCGAAUUCACCAUGGGAUGAUGAUCAAGUGCACCACUUUUGCUGCUUUUCCUCGAUAGUGAAUCAAUCCUCUUUGUUGAAGCUUCUAGCUUUGCAUCCAAGGAAGCCACCAGUCUAAUCAGUUCUUUCUCAGUACAGUAAUCUAAUCUAUCAUCCCAUGUCGGGUACAACAUCUCCCUAGAUGACUUUCGAGCCCUAGAUUCUUUCAAACCCUUUAUCCAAUGACCACCAUCUGACUCUCGAGCCCUAGAUUCUUUCAAACCCUUUAUCUCAGAUGAAGGAAGGCUAGCAUCUCUGAUUGCUGGGUUUGCCUUGUACCCAGCAACAAUGCGUUUGACUUGUUCAGGAUCUUGGGGCCAAGUCUCUGCUAUAUUGCUUUGACGUUGGUAGAGGAUCAAGCAUACAUCAACACCACAAAGUUUCGAAAGCUCCUCGGCUUUCUUGAACACAUUCUUCUUUCGAUCCCGAACCUUUUUACGAUCACUCUUGCUUGACGAUAAUUGUUGUUUGUUUCGUUGAGGGUCCAUAUUUCUGAAAGUCAUAUCUGUUGAACGAAACCCUAAAUAUAUUACAGAAAAACAAGGAAAUUAGAGGUUUCAUAGGACAUAAAUUACUAUUGUGUAAAGACUUGUACUGCCGAUCAAAUUUGUUUCUUCGAUCGAUCUACUCAGAAACCCUAAUAAACUAUAACUGGAAACUUCUGCGCGCAUCCACAACAAGCCUAGAACAUAACUAUUUUCACUCAACAACACACACAACAACAUCGAUAUAAUAUUCACACUACAACAAAGAAAGAAAGAAAAAUCAGAAACAGAAAAUAUGUACCUUUUUUUUUUGGUUCGAAAGAAAAUAUGUACCUUGCUUAGUCGAACUUUGACAUGCAGCUUCUUGAUCUCAAUCGCUACCUCUUGGCUUUAUAGAACAGAGAUGGAUCACUAUUUUGGAAAGUUAUUAUUAAGAUGAACUUUUUUAUUUUAUUCGUCAAAAAAUAAAAAUAAAAUAAUAGUAGUUUCCCAAAUCAUGAUUGGGUUUCCUAAUUUUUUCCACCCGAUUGGCUGAGCAAACAAUUUUUGUUUACAUUGAACUUUUCAAAGGUGAUGUUUAUUGGUUAAUUAAACUUUUAAACGAUUAAAAUUAUGAUUUACAUCGGCAAAGGUAUGUAAAUAAGAAAGAGUUCGGACGCAUACGUAUAAACAUUAGAGGAAUCGAAUCAAGCCAUUCAAGUUGUUCAGAACAUUCAAAAGCUAUGCUGGCUAGCCUAUGUGCUAUUACAUUUGUGGUUCUUGACCAUGACAUUCUGCAGCCUCCUAAGACUAGUGAAUGUCAUCUAAUGUCUUAGGAUGUCAUCUAAUACAUUUCCAUACUCCAACUUCAGGUAGUCUGGAGCUUGGAUUUCCAUAAUCCGGCCUUCGAAGUCGACAUCCUCCUUUGUGAGUGCCAACGUCGUCGAGAGAUGAUUCGCCAUUUUUUCUUCCAUCAAAAAUUGGUUGUAGAAAAGUGAAAAACCAUGGUUCUCUCUUUUUUCUAUUACCUUUAUUUUCAUAGUUUUCAAUGCCAAGCUCAAUCGUAUUACCUUUAUUUUCCACUCCAAGUUAACAUGGCCAAGAUCUUUGUGUAAUAAUAAGUGUGGUCACGGUAAUGACUUAUGUUACGUGUCACCCAGUGUUUACAUGGUCAGUCACUGACUAAGAGAUUCUUGGUCAGUCAUCAUUAGAUUUACAUUCAAGGGUUAAAACAUUUCUACUAAAAAAUAAUUCUUCCCACCAUUGGAUUUAAAUCUAAUGGUAACUGACCACGAAUCUUUUGGUCAGUCACCGACUAGGUGAACAUGACUGCAUCGAUUAAACUUUUCAUUUUAAGUUACAGCACUCCAAAGGGGUUGGAACAGAAUGAGGCUGAGGCCUAAUGUCCAAAACUACAAUGAGCAAAUUGAUGAAUGACUGGCAGAAAGCUUCAACUAAACCUCAGCCAGUCGUUGAAUGAUAGGCUAUCAUCCACAACCUCAUCGUCUACCAAAGACAAAAAACGGAGUAAUAAUCCCUACCCUACUCUCUUGCACAUCUCUUAGAUCGUUUAUUCUGAGUCACUCCCACCCAACUUGUUCUAUAGACCUUGCCAAUUAUUUCUGUGAAACGAAGCUUUCGACUGCUUUGCCUCCAAUUCCAAGCAAGCAUGGCUUCGGCUAAUAUUCUUUCUAUGGCCAAACCAUCUCCUCAGGUUCAUGCAGCUUCUUACUGACAUGUACUCAUAGUAUGAUUGCUAGCUAUUUCUCUAUAGUUAACGAAAAAGUUAUUUACUUCUCAGGAAAAUGGGAAGGGGUUUGUAGAAUUCUCAAGUACUCUGCGCAACACAUCAGCUAAUUGCCUUCAGUUUGGAAGGAAGAACUCCGAUGAUUCUGUCUCUGUUGUUGCCUUCCAUAGUUCCCCUGCUGUGAGUAGUACACUUUACUCAAAAUCCUUUUUCUGCAAAUCAGCUGCCAAUACUCAAUACUGUAGCUUCCUUUUUAAAACUAUGGAGAGGAUGAUUAAGAAGUUUAAACUUGAGCUACGUUCUUAAAUUGUUCACAUUUCAUUACUAUGAAACUCAUGAUCUCUAAUGUUUCCUCAUAUAUUUUUUUUUUUUCAUCUACAUUAGCAGCAAAUGGUAAGUAAAGCGGUAGCAUCUAAAAGAACUAUCGCCUGCUCUGCUCUGCAAGAAUCAUCUACUUCCACUGGUAAGUUGCUCCAUUUUCAUAAUGAAUCACAGGGAGUCAUUGUCUUCUGAUUAAUCUGACAAGUUAUGCAGCAUUGGUAAAUCGUGAACUCUUCUUGCCCCUUUUACGUGCUAGUUGCUGCUGAAACGAAAGAAGUGAAAGCAGCUCCAGCAAAGCCUAAAGCUCCGGCAAAAGCUCCAGUCAAGCCGUUACCUCAAAUGAUGGAAGAGGAUAUAAUCCCAUCGCUGAAAGCAAUACUCGAAACUCCUCAAAAUCAGCUCUCUGAUAUUGAGCUAUUUUUUGAAGACAACAAGGUUGGUCUUCUCAUCUUCAUUUUAGCAUUAUGCAGAACCUAAUGCCGUCCAGUUGAUCAUUUAUGACAACACUGUCUGCUGCUCCGGUUGAUAGCUUGAAGGUUCGUUUCUGAAGAAGGGCAAUUCAUAUUCAUUUUGGGCAUUCUUUCCCAACGGAGACCUCACAGGUACAUCUUGUGAUCUUCAGAAAUAAUGUUCAGGUCACAAUUAUGACAUAAAACACCGCUGCUGAUACUUCCAUGCUUGGCACAAUCUGCAGGUCCAAAAGGCUUUUCUUUAUCUUCCUACGGCUUAGGAGCAAGCACUGUCGAACCUUUUCUCGUUGAUGAGAAGAAGAUUACGGCAAGACACAUUAUCUUUUGGGUUGAAAAGCGUUUGGCAGCUCAAGGAAUCAUUCCUGUGUGGAAAGACUAAACCAAACUCGUACAAGUUCACCAAACUCACUACCAAUGUUGUGAAUUUACCGACGUACAUUUUUUGUCUAUUGACUGGUAUCAAAUAUUUUUGAUUGAGGCUCCAAAGUCCGCUGCCCCAAUCUCUCCUAUACAAAGCAAUGACACUUCUCACAAUUUUCUAAUUUACUUUUUGGAGUCUGCAUACAUUAUUAUAUUAUUGAAAAAGUAACUAAUAAUCUACAUCCUUUCACCAAACGCACAGACCAUCUUCCGAAAUGAAGAGAAGAAGAAACUAAUAUCAUUGGAGAAAAGAAGAAAGUUGUAAAAUGGAACUGUUAUUAAAGAAAUAAUUGAUAUCAUACGUCACGAUAAACUAAGCGGGGAAAACGAAAUUGUAAAUUAGCCAGUGCUACCGGAUAAGUCUCCUGAAAUUGCACUUCCGUAUGAAACAGAUCCUGUUUGAGAAGCAGUGCGGCUAGCCGAAGCAGAACGGCUAGCCCUCUGGAUCUGCCGUAUCCUGAAAGCAUCAGUUGGGAGUGGUUGGCUCUGCACUGUAGUUUCAUCUUCGUCUUUCCCUGUCAAUAAUAAGAUAUGAUUACUAUUAGCUUCUCAAUAUAACCUCAUCAAAGAGCCAGGAACUCUAUGCAUUAACAGAACACACUGAGACAAUUUGAUUUUCACUUGAUCAAAAAUGGUACUCAAAUUAACGAUUUCAUUAACAGCGGUGUAUUUCUCAAGGCAACCAUCCUACUAGCAAAUUCACAAACUGAAGGCCCAAAAGAAUCCACAGCCAAGCUAUUCCAAUUUGAACACCAUAAUUAAAUCUAUGCAAUCAGGACGGUAACAAAGUGAAUAAAUCCAACCGACACUAACCGGAAGAUUAGCUUGAACUUCAUUUAACAAUGACUGUUUAGUGUGUUGCACAUUUAUGGGAUGAUAAAAAGGAAAAGGAAAAAGCCAAAGAACAAAAAACACGUACUAUCUAUAUUUUUCCGUUUCCCCCUCGUUGGCUUGAAAGAUGAGCCACUUGGGAUGGGAUGAGACUUGCUUGAAACGGAAAGGUCACUCGUAGAAGGAGCAGGUACCGAUGGAAAUUGUACAUGGGCAGUCCCUGACUUUACAGGCUGUGGUGCUGGUAUGUCACUUUGCAAACAAAUUGAUAGCACAAUAUCCACGUCUGGGGUUGGGCCUGAAAAUUUCAAACAGUAAAUUUUCCAAUCAACAACAGCAUAAUUGAUUAAUUGGGUUGAUAUAGCAAUAAAAAUUCAUCACCAUUGACGACACCAAGCACAUUUCAUAAGAGAAAACUUAAAUGUACUGUCCAUGAAAUUGAAAUAUUAAGAAAAUAGGAAUUCAAUGUAGAAGCAAAUCUGUCCUAGAUAAUAGGUUUUUAACUUUUUAUACUUUAACAAAAGUUCAAGAAACUACUUAUAAAUUGUCCAUUGAACUACUAAAAAAUACUAAAAAUCAACUAGCCAACAAACAUCUGGGCUGCUACACCAAGAUGAAUACAACUUGAAAACCAAUUAGGACGUUACAUCACAUUAUCACAACCUCACUGCCAUCCAAGGAAUUGAGGAAACAAAAUGCUUCUUAAAAACAGGGGAAGCAAACCCCCAUAAAGAUUCCAAAAAGUAGAUACUCAACCAGCUCUCCCUUCACAUCAUCAAUACCCUCCUAUUUCUCUUCAUACACAACACUCAAAAGAUAGCCAUCAAAGUGCAUCACCUGGCACCGCCUCUCACUUUUUACACCCAAAACAACUAUAUCUCUCACAAAAUAACUCCCUGUGCAACUUAAAAUCAAGAUGGCUCUCUAAACAAACUACACUACCACAGAAUCAUGCAUACUAGAAAAAAUUUCUCUAGGUAUGAAGAUAGACUUGCAUUUGUAUGCAGCAACUCUGGUUUCAUUUAAUGGAAUGAAAGAUUUUGAAGUUUACCUUCAAUGAUAGGUAAAUUUGCUAAAAAGGCUACCAAAGCAGGUGGAGUCACUUUAAGUAUUUCAUCAAAGGCACUCAUUGUUUGGCCACCUACUGCUGCAACAACCGGAUUUGACAAGGUGCUAGCAGCAGUGAGAACUCCAGCUACCCCUAAAGAUAAAAUAUAAAAAAUAGCAGAGGCAGAAGGAUCAGCCAUUGAGCAUUAUAACCAAACUAUAUAUCAUGUCAAUCAAUCUACAGUGAAAAUAAACUGUAAAGCUUUGGAGUUUGGACAUUCCGGAAGCACUCAUUUAUGAAUUAUUUAAAGAAAAUGAAAAGCAAUUACUAUAAACUGAUGAUUCACACUACAUUUGCAAUAAACAAGCAAUUAGUCAUUCCCUUUCCCACCAGAAAAACAAAAAUAUAUCAAAACAUUCAAAAGUGCAAGAGCAAAUGUAAUGACUAGAUAUUUUAAUGUGAGCAAAAACUGUAAGGAUAGUCAAUCCCUCUCAACAGCUGACAUUUGAACUUGAAUAGUGCUAAAAUAAAACCCAUGCUUAUUAUCUGGUCAAACUAUACUACCCAUGAAAUCAGAGUACUAGGUGAAAUCAAGCGAAAUUGAAACGCCCAACAACCCUGAGACUGAGAAAAUAAAUGAAAAUUGACCCAGACCACACACGGCUGCAUAAUUCUAACUAGUUAUGGAUAUUGUUGGUCCUGAUUUGCAAUAGCUGAUUACUAAAAACUUCGUUUUAACAUUAAAUUUGUAUUGAUAGAAGUGCACAAUUAAACUGACACAAUAUUCCUCUAUACAUACCAAACAAGGAAGAACUUCAAAUUAAACAUCCCUAUUAUGUGAUAACUCCCACCCAAUUAAUUUUUUUUUUUUUUUUGAAAACGAAAGAAUUUCAUUCAAUAAGUUAAUGAGAGAAAAAAACUAGAAGGCCAUAUAGCACAAUAAAGCAGAUAUAGCUAAAUCAGGAUGAGAGUUCACACAAAAUAAUGAGUCCCACUUUUAAUUAUCACUAGGAUUAAGUUGUUUUCGUCAAAAGAAACAACGUUUUAAUAAUAACAUUGAACACUUUUUGUGGAAAUGGUACCCAGUUAAUACAUGCAGCCCAGGUCAAUUCUUUCUCCUAACCACUAUUCUGUUUUGUAUGAAGGUUACUUUACUUUGUUAUUAUCCAUACCAAAAAUCCAAUCAGGGCCUCAAUAAUUAGAUGCAGCCCAGGAAAUUCUUUCACCCAGCUACCAUUCAGUAAACUGUGAAGGUUAAUUUAAAGCUUUAUUAUCCAUAGCAAAGAUCUAAGCACGCUCACUAAAAACAACUAAAAAGAAAUAACUAAGCAGAAUCUCUACCAGGUUUUUGCCUUGGAUCAUAGAUAACCAUUUGGUUAGUAUCUGGAUAAACAACUUUUGCAGACACUGAUGAAUUGCUUAUCAGGCCAGUAGAACCCUUGUCUGCACAGAAAGACCACAAAUUGCUAAGCAGUGAGUUAAUAAUUAAGCAAUACCAAACAAUUUUCGUUGGCCACGACAUCAGUUAAACGCAAUAACGCUACCUGCAAGUUCAGAUCCACUUAGCAUAGUUGACUUCUCUGCUUUCUUAUUAAUAUUUUUAGCAAGCCACUGAAAAAGAGGAAGCAGAGUGACAUAAAUAAAUAAAUAUGUAUAUAUAUAAGCAACUAACUAAACUGAACUGUUUAAAAGUCUUUGAAGCUUCAGGUUUUACAUAGGGUUGACAAUUUGUUUCUGAGUGUAUAACUACAGGUUUUAGAUAGAGUUGACAAUUUGUGUUAACAGGCCUUCUUCAUGUGUUUCAUGUUACUUAUCAGUUAAAGCUAACUCAACUUCUUUAACAUUGACGACACAAAACUAAACCCCAAGAAUUUAGAAAUGUGUUCUGUUUGGUUGACCCAGUUUCCUUAUUAACUAUAAAUUUCAAAAAUGUUUUCCCCAGUUUUAGAAACAUAAAAGGCAUAGUAUACAAAUUCAUUGGGUGUUAAAGAAACAAGCUGAAUUACACAAGACCUCCUGUGUGCCGACACAAAAGAAUUAUACACUAUACUUACAUUACUUUGUGUUGAGGACAAGCAAAACUUUUAGGAAAAAUUUCAGUUUACUCCUCUGAACUUUAGGUCUAAAAUCAGUCUGAUACCUCAUCUUUUUUUUUAAUCAGUUUCAUCCCUAAACUUUCAAAAUGACAUCAAUCUCGACCAAAAUGACUAAAAUAGCCCUUGUUACGGUUUUCCAUCAAUUACAGCCUCCAUUACACCCCAAAAGCAUAAACCUAANNNNNNNNNNNNNNNNNNNNAGAGAGAGAGAGAGAGAGAGAGAGAGAGAGGGGGGGGGGGUUUAAAAGGGAUUAAGUUUUUUAUCUUUAGGUUUAUGCUUUUGGGGUGUAAUGGAGGCUGUAAUUGAUGGAAAACCGUAACAAGGGCUAUUUUAGUCAUUUUGGUCGAGAUUGAUGUCAUUUUGAAAGUUUAGGGAUGAAACUGAUUAAAAAAAAAAGAUGAGGUAUCGAACUGAUUUUAGACCUAAAGUUCAGGGGAGUAAACUAAAGUUUUUCCAAACUUUUACUAGCAAAAUGUAGGAUCCAAAUUGCAAAUUUUAUUAUUUUCAUUUCCCUCAACCCCGAACAUAAAAUACUUAAACACAUGUGUACCGACAUCAAAUAGGGUGAUGGUAUUCGUACUCAUUUUUCUCUUUAGCUUACUAUUCACACUCCUUUUUGUGACUUAAUGAUGAUGAUAAAAGGGAGUAUUAGUACUAUUUCAAAGAGAAAGGGGAGUGUGAGCCAUGAACAUGAGCCAUCAAAACACCAAUAAUCUCCAAGUAGAUCAAGUUGUUAGAUUAAAUUUGGUUACUGGACUAGUACACAAACCCGAGCCACAAAAUUAAUUCACAUGUAAAACAAACACAUAAACAUAUUAUUGAGUUCAACAAUAAUUUCACUAAAGAUACCUCUUGUCGCGCUAAAUGGUCCAAAUCCUUCGUGGAGCAGGGCCAAAGAUCCAUGAAACUAUAACGAGAUACAACCUCUUGUAAAGAACUUUCCAAAGAUGAAGGUCCCUCUUCAUCAGUUAUAGAAAGUGCUUCUUUUUUUCUUUGCUCAACCUAUACAAAUUAGAAAUCCAGCAAAUCAAUGCUUCUAGUAGAAGACGAUGAUCAAAGUUCAUAUAAAUAAUCCAACAGCACCUUUUCUAAAAGAUCGAUUUACAUAGACAUGAAAAUAUGUAAUAUAUUGAAGUUCAGAUUACCACGUAGUAAGUAAACCAUUAUCGUGAAUUAAGAAUUAGUAUUCACUAAGGUAUGAUCUGGGUUACUACAUCAACUGUGGAAACUUGUCAUUAAGUAACAAAACAAAGUUUAGGGAGAUACAAGAUCCCAUUUAAAUGAUGUAAUGAUAUAUACGGAUUAGGUAUCAACAAGGCCACUAGCUAGGGUGCUAUCGAGGCUCCUACAUCAACUCCCAAAAUUGAAAAAAUGAGAAUGUGCUAAGUUCAAAUGUUUAUUUUCAUAUUAUUAGUGGUCGAGCAUUGUCAUUGUUAUCUAAUAUUCACUUCAGAAGGUAUAAUAGAUAUAAAAAAUAAGAACUCUGACUUCACAGAUCAAGUAAAAAUGAAUAACUACUUUGUUUAACAACCGAAGGACUGUAACAAAGGUGUAUGUGACAAAAUUUUGAGGUAUUCGGGUGCAUGUGAAACGCUCACUGCUUUCACCAGUUAGACAAGCCUCACAUAACAAAAAAAAAAA
rnacentral:lncRNA from 1 species